UCACAACUCAUUCCAACAACAAAAGAAAGUGAGGGGAAAAAAAACAUAAGCAAUGGUUUCCAUUUCGCUGCCAGAAAAGCCUCAUGCUGUUUGUAUUCCAUAUCCAGCACAGGGUCACAUAAACCCUAUGCUGAAACUAGCCAAGCUCCUUUAUCAUAAAGGGUUUCAUAUAACCUUUGUUAACACAGAAUUCAACCACAAACGUUUGCUGAAGUCUAGAGGUCCUGAUGCCCUCAAUGGCUUGCCUGAUUUCCAAUUUAAAGCCAUUCCUGAUGGGCUUCCUCCUUCUGAUGUUGAUGCCACCCAAGACGUCCCCUCCCUUUGUGAAUCCACCACUACUCAUUGCUUAGGUCCAUUUAGAGAUCUCCUUGCAGAACUUAAUGAUCCCUCUUCAUCACAAGUGCCCCCUGUUUCUUGCAUAGUUUCUGAUGGAGCCAUGAGCUUUACUCUUGAAGCUGCCGCAGAACUAGGCGUCCCAGAAAUAUUGUUUUGGACUCCUAGUGCAUGUGGAUUCUUGGGUUAUAUGCACUAUGCUAAGCUCAUAGAAAAGGGUCUCAUACCACUCAAAGGUACUCUUCAGGCCCAAGAACUUUUUGUGGUAUUUCUCCUUUGAGCUCUCGUGAGAGAGACUUUUAGCACUAGUUGGAUUUCUGAACUUCUGCACUGCGAAAUAGAUAUAAUAUAACCCCCUUGGCAACUAGCUUGAUGGCAUUUAAGAUAUUAAUAAUUACUGUAUCUUCUUUUUUAUUUUUUAAUCGAGUUAAACUUGUGAAUCCUUGUCAAUUACAGAUGCAAGUUAUUUGUCAAAUGGAUACCUUGAGCAAGCUUUGGAUUGGAUUCCCGGGAUGAAAGAUAUACGUCUGAGAGAUCUUCCAAGUUUCUUAAGAACUACAAAUCCGGAUGACUACAUGGUAAAAUUCGUCCUGCAAGAGACUGAGAGAGCCAAGAAGGCUUUAGCUAUUAUUUUGAACACAUUUGAGGAGCUGGAAGAGGAUGUUAUAAAUGCUCUGUCUGCCAUCCUUCCUCCCAUCUACGCCAUUGGGCCUCUACAGCUUCUCCAGAAAGAGGUAAAAGAUGAGAGGUUAUCAGUUGUGGGGUCAAAUCUUUGGAAAGAAGAGCCCGAGUGCCUAGAAUGGCUUGAUCCAAAGGAUCCCAAUUCUGUUGUCUAUGUAAACUUUGGAAGCGUCACUGUUAUGACUCCUGACCAGCUCGUGGAGUUUGCAUGGGGACUUGCAAAUAGUAAACAAACAUUUUUGUGGAUCAUCAGGCCUGAUCUUGUCUCUGGCGCCUCUGCAAUUCUUCCUCCUGAAUUUUUGGAGGAAACUAAAGAUAGAGGCCUACUAGCAAGCUGGUGCACUCAGGAACAAGUUCUCAGCCAUCCUGCCAUUGGAGGAUUCUUAACUCAUAGCGGAUGGAAUUCAACUCUCGAGAGUAUCUGUAGUGGGGUGCCCAUGAUUUGUUGGCCGUUUUUCGCCGACCAACAAACCAAUUGCUGGUUCUGCUGCACCAAAUGGGGCAAUGGAUUGGAGAUAGACAAUAAUGUUAAGAGGGACGAAGUUGAGAGCCUUGUGACUGAGUUGAUGGUUAGAGAAAAGGGAAAGGACAUGAAGAAAAAAGCCUUGGAGUGGAAGAACAAGGCUGAAGAAGCAGCUAAAAGUUCGGGUGGUUCUUCUUACUCGAAUCUGGAUAAGGUGGUUCAAGUGCUUCUCACCAAGUAAAAUCAGAAUAGCAUAUUUAUGUAAUGAAUUUCUUUCAAUUCUAUAAAUAAAUUAUCUCUAUUUACGGAGGUUACAAUCCUUCAAUGUUCUUUUGUGCUUAUCUUUUCCUAGAAAGUUAAUCGUGAUUACGAAGUCCCAUCUAGCCAGCUACGCAAACCUUUGGAAUAUAUUGAGGUCCCUGUCUGCAUUACUAAAUGCAAAAUACUGCAAAUUGGCAUGGCAUACCGUGAUAGCAAAAAUUUGAUCAGGUCCUCGAGUCCAAGAACUACGCUCAGAUUAUGUGAAGUUAAAGAUUUUUUUUAUUAUUGAAUACAUGAAUUCAUUAACAUUUUUUUAUUGGAUAUAUGAAUUCAUAAAAAAUAAAGGGCAAACUCCACUUUACCCCCCUGUGGUUUAGCGUUUUUUCACAUAACCCCCCUGUGGUUUCAAAAGCUAUACAUAACCCCCUCAUGGUUUGGAUUAAAGUGUCAAAGUAACGGAAAUGGUCACUCGUAACGGCGUCACCUAAAAUGUCAAAAAUACCCUUAUGUAAGGUUGAAAUUUAUGUAUUAACCAAGGGGGGUUAUGUGUAUAUUUUGAAAAGCAUAAGGGGGUUAUAUGAUAAAGUAUUAAACCAUAAGGGGUUAUAUGGUAAAAUAUAAAAAUCAUAGGGGGUUAAUGUGUCAUGUAUUUAUAAGGGUAAUUUCGACAUUUUUAGAAGUUCCGUUACGAGUGACUAUUUCUGUUACUUUGACACUUUAAUCCAAACCAUGAGGGGGUUAUGUAUAGCUUUUGAAACUAUAGGGGGGUUAUGUGAAAAAACGCUAAACCACAGGGGGGUAAAGUGGAAUUUACCCAAAAAUAAAAAAGAGUUGCAAUAUCAAGUUAUACACUAGUUACAGACCAAAAAAUCAUGAACCUAACUUAUUUCGGAUAUGGUGCUCUUCAAUAUUGAAUUCAUUUAUAAAGUGCAGAGAGUUUAAUUAUAGCAAAUUCCCACUACUCUCAGCAUUUUUUUUUAUUGUGAAAAUGGAAGAGUUUGAAUUCAAAAUCUUUCAUUUACAUUCUCUCAUUUGAACCAUCUAACAUAUUCCUACCUCGGUUACUAGCUCUUAACUUAUUAAUAAAACUGCAGGUUGUAAUGUUGAACGUCAAAUUCUAACCCUUUUUUUAAUUUUUUUUCUUUUUUUUAUUUGAGAAAAAGGAAGGCCUCGUUCUCAUGAAUUUUUUUUAAUAAGUGAAAGGUUUUAAAUUCAAAAUCUCCUAAUUUUACCAGCCAGCCAAUCCAACAUUUUCCUAACAUUAAUGAGUGUGUUUGGAUCGUUAAUUAUUCCGCUUUAUUUACACCUUAUUUACACACUAAUUUGCUUGCAUUAUCAACACAUUUUUCAAUCAUCUUUUCAUCUCACAUAUAUCAUAUAAAAAAAGUGCUACAAUAUUUUUUUAUAAAUUAUUUCAAAUAAUUUACAAUCCAAAAUAGGUGAUGGCAAUGAUUGAAUGCAGAAAUUACAGGAGUGGUCUUGAAUAUAUAGUCAACAUCGAACAAUUAAAUGUUCGCAUCCAUGCUUACUUCUUGCAGGCAUUUUAUAGUUUAUUACACGACCACAGUACUAAGGUCAACAAUCAACGCCCCCGCCCAAGCCUCCCAUAAGCCCGCAACCCUAUCACUCCGUGCUUACAUCUGCGUUUUUUAAUCUGUUGUUUUCUCCUCCAUUAUUAAGGAAGUGAUUAUGCUCACCUUUUUUGUCAUACAUUAUGUGGGACCCUUUAUUGGAAAAAAAAAAAGAAAAAACAAUACAGUCUUCUGGGCCUACAAAUGUUUUUACGCAAUAAUCGCUCUAAUAUUAAAUUACAAUUUGAAUAAAAUAAUUUAGUUCAUAAUGCGUUACAUGAUGGUGUAAUGUAAUCUUAAACCUAUUUGUCAAUAACUGACAGAAGAUAUUUAUGUCAUAGCCAUAUACAGAAUUUAUAAUAUAAAAAGACAUGCAAUUCAUUUUCGAUAAAAAUGUUAAAAAUAGAAUAUUUGAGUUCCAGCUAUUAUUGACUAUGAAGUCAUCCAUUUUUUAUCUUUAAAAAAAAAGAAACUCUUUCACUAGUUUGAGUGCACAUCUCUUUAUGGUAAUACAUUUAAAUAUAGUAAAUUUUUAUACAUUGUCAAUAUAAAAUUUUUUAUACACAGAUUUAGAUCAUUCCAUAAUAAUAUGAAUUUAAAUUUGAAAUUUAAAUAAUAUGUAUAUGUGGCAUAUAUUAAUGGCUGCUAGUGUGAAAAGGUUACCACACUGUUAGUGCAUAAAGAGUUACUUCUUCAAAAUAACAGAUGAGAAUGUUUUCUAUAUGUUGAAAUUUUUUUACAACUGUUUUCUAUAUUCUGAUUUUAUGAAUAUUUUGAACAUAAGAAAGCUGAAAAUCUGAAGUAUCUAAAAUCAUCUUUUACAUAAUGAGAAUUAGCACAUUAUUUGAAAGCUAAUAUUUGCAAUUACACUGCUGUUUAUAAUCAUAAGAAGACACAAAAAAAUAAAAAGAGAACAAAGAAAAACAAGUUGGUGCGAAGAAAAAAGCUAACUAAACCCAAAAUUUUCAUGAUUCAUAAUCUUGAAGGCCAAGUCUACUUAUCUAUUGAGUGUUUAAUCAAGGGAUAAUUAGAAGAAAAAUAAAAUAGAAAAAAUUUUGAGAAAAAAAAUAAAAAGAAGUACCACUUUUUUUCCAGAGACAAAUUCCGUACACGGGGUCGCAAUGUUAGCCGUUAUUUUAUUAAAACAAUAAAUGAAUUACAAAAAUUUCAUUUUUUUAAAAAAAAUUUAGUGUAAUAGAGAAUAUUUAAAUUCGGGAUUUCUCACUUACACUUCCAUCUCUACCUUUCCAACCACUCAAUCCAUUCCUUCCCAAAAUGAAAUACAAAAAUUUCGAGGGGGCCAAACUUAACCUCGAGAAAAAACAAGAAAAAGGUACACUUGAGAACGAGAGGUUAGCAAAAUUAUAACCUUGCAAAAAUGUCCAAGUGGCAAGCCAAUCUUUUGAUAAAAACUAAUGAAGCUUCUCGAGAAAAGGAAAAAAAACACUUUUCAAACUCUAAAGUUUGAAGAGAUAUAAUUCAAUUAGAGUAUCAUUUACAUGAUUAUUUCAACUUAUAUUUGACAAUUUAACUUAAGCUUUAAUCAGAUUACAAUGUUAUUAUCAUAAUUAUUCUUUGAAUUUAUAUUUAUAUUUAUUUCAAUAUGAAUUAUAAAUUAUAUUUGACAAAUUAAGCUGCAUUUGUUAAAAAUCGUCAAAUUGCAUGGAUUUUUUCAAAUUGUUAUUUUGACAUUUUCUUAUAGUCUUUGACAUUUUAUUAUUUUGUUAAUGUAACGAAAAAGAUUAUUUAAAACUAAUUUCAUCUUAUUAUAAAGAAAAAGAUUAUUACUGCUACUUAAUGUAGUGUGCAUUUUUAUGUUUUGAAUUUAUUUUAAUUUGUUGAUAUUAAAAUAUUUGGUAACAUUUGACUUUAUGUUCAUAUAUUUUUGUUAUCAAUUCUAUUUUAAUUCAUUUAUACCUUAAUAAGUGUUUUUUUAUUGCAAUUAAUUUUUUCUUUUCUUAAUCAAACGAAUGCAUUAACGUCUAAAUGACAAAAAUAAGUGUAUCUCUAUUAUAUUUCAUUCAAAUGCUCUUUGUUGUUGUUUUCAUGGUAACCGUUAGAUUUGCAUUUUUUUUCUUAUUUUCUACAUUGUCAAAUUAUAAAUUAUUCAAUACAGCUUAUAUAUUAUGAGUUCUAAUUUGGAGAGAAAAACAUUUUUCCAAACUUAUUGCAUUAUUAGAUUAUUCAACAAGUCAGCUUACAGAUUGCUUGGUUCUCCUAUUUUUCCUCUGCUUUACUUAUAAUAAGCCAUAAGUUAAAUAAUGCAAUCAUUCUUCAACUACUCAUCUUUUUUCUCAAUUAUCUAACCAUAUUAGAUACUUACAUUUUUCUUCAUAGUUAGGUUGUUCUUCACAAGAAAAUCAAUUUUUUGAUGAAUUAUCAACUGUAUUUCAUAUGUGUAUAACUAUUAGAUUGAAAGACAAAGCACUAGUUUAGUUUAGUUUUCAUAGACUACCUUUUCAGAUGAAAUUAUUAUCAACAAACUGCCCUUAAAUAGUAUAGUACACGACCUUACACACACUACCAACCUUUGUUAUGCUUCAUUUUUUUCUUGUUUUAUUUCCUUCCCAUUCCCAUGUAGUAGAGUGAAAGCUUCCUUCACUUUCUUGUUUUCUCACAUUUGGUAAUACAAUUUUUCUUACUUUUUACUUCAACAAAUCUAUGCAUCUAUAGUAACAUAUACUUUUUUUUGCAUGUUUUGUGUUUUCCUUUUGCAGCAUUACUUUCAGUACUCAAAAUUUUUGCUUAGCUUGUCACUUUACUCCAGAUUAGUCAUUUCACUUAUUUAUUUAGCACCAGUUAAACCUGUAUAAACUAGCUGGAAUUACCACCAAACAUAAUAUACACUUUUCCUUUCAAAUUUAUUUUAUUUUAUUUAUGCGUUAAUACUUGCUUUUUAUUAGAACGAAUUUUUUCCCUUUAAUAACCAACAAUGCAUUAAGAUGCUCUUUAUAAUAUAUACACAUAACACUCAACUCAUAAACCAUCUUUCAAAUUUUGUUAUUCUUAAACACUUUAGUGUGGGCAUUUGCCAUGCGGCCUUACUAGUAUAAGAAGCAAGGGGUUUAGUUCUUUGCUUCCUUUCUUGCCACUUGGCUUCUUAAUAGGUUGACAAGUGGAAUAUUUAUUAUCCCUUGCAUAACUUUUUUUUUGUCCCUUUGUCAUGCCAAAUCAACAAGUGGCCCUUAUGUUGUCCUUUCUGAAUCCAAUGGGUUUUUUUAUCUCUAUUAUCUCUAUUAUAUAAGAAGAUAUGGAAGUUUACUAUAUCACCCUAAUUUUUGAACACGUGGCAUAGUUCUCCUUUAAGGAAGUUGUGAUUUUUUCCCAUUGUUUAUUUUUAUGCUCUUAAAUGCUUCUUUCCGUGAAGGAUUUAAAUUUAUAGAGCAAUCAACAAUUUCUUCUGAAGGCAGAGAUCAGAGUUACUGGCAACAAAGGCAAACUGUAAAGUAUGUAAGGGGUACUUCUGUUUUUCCUUUAUGACUUUGCCUGUAUUUAGUAAGGAAAUAAAUGUGCAAGGCAAACAAUAAAGUAUGUAAGGGUACUUUUGUUUUUCCUUUAUGACUUUGCCUGUAUUUAGUAAGGAAAUAAAUGAGUAUGCACAGUUUUUCCUUUCCUAGAAAUACUUAACUAAUCUCACAUGUCUUUAGUCAAGAGGUACAUCAAUCAAAUUGCAUCAUAUAUGAAUCUAGGUCCAUUUUCCGUUGAAAAAUCUUAUUCUCACACAUCUUUGGCCAUGGGAUUGGAUCAACUUUCACAAUAUAUAAAUCCUAAUCACAAUUUCCUUAGUCCUAUGGGGAACUUUGUACACACACACACACAUAUAUAUAUAUAUAUAUAUAUAUAUAUACGAAUUGGCUUCGCAUGCACUUGUAACUUACUAGUACUUUUGGAAAGUGCCCAUGAUCUCAUUCUUUAAGUUGUGAUAUCAAAGCCUAAUAUAUAAUAUGAGAAGGCCACUUGUGGGCCGAAAUACGAGCUUAGAGGAAGGAAUCUCCAUGCUCGUCCCAUAAGUGUAACUCAACUAUAGGUACGAGUGGUUAAAGGUUCGAAUCAUCAUGAAAAUAAGUGAGAAAUCAAUAUUGAUCUUUUUUGUGAAAAAAAAACUAAGUAAUUAGGAAUUUUGAGAUCUCUCAUUCAAUUCAUAAAUAAUUUUCUUUCUCCUUCCUUUUAUAAAGCCCAAAAAAAAAGGAAGACUUAGCUCCAUGCUCUAGCUCAAGGUAAACGUCAAGUUGUUCUUUUUCGUGUCUUUUCGAAGGGUCUGGAGAAAGUUUCAAUUAAUAGGAUUUUCCUAAUCCUUCCUUCCAUAAGGAAGAGCGUGACUUUUUUUUUUUAGAAUGAACUCCUUUCUUUAUUUUCUUUAUUUGGUGUACAACUUGCCGGAUAAAAAGAAAUUUUCAUGUUCGAUUUUGAAGGGGGAGAUCCUAUAGGAUCAUGUCUCAAUUUCUUUUGCUAGACCCAUAACUUAAAAACCCUUCUUGCUAUCACGAGAUUCAUCGAAUUUAGAUCCAAUUUGAAAUACAACAUUCCUUUUUUUUUUACUGCCCAAGGCUUUGAUUUUCGAACAUAUACAAAAAUGCUUUAGUUGGGCCUCGACUUUGCCACCGUGUCCAAAUGCAUGAUGUUAACACAAAAAUAAUUAGUCUCAAAUUUACCUGUUUGUUGUCCAAAUAUACUGAUUUGUUCUUCAAUUGAUUUUUAAUACCCGAUUUUUAGAUUUUGAUUAAAAAAAUUAGUUUAUCGUGUUUACAACUUUUUUCAUAUUGAUUUUAUGAAUAAGAAAGCUGAAAAUCUAAAGUUAUUAUCAUCUUUUACAUAAUGAUAAUUAGCAAAGAACAAGGCCAUUAUUUGAAAGCUAAUACUUGCAAUUACAUUGCUGUUUAUAAUCAUAAGAAUACACAAAAAUUAAAAGAGAAAAAAAAAAAAGUUGGUUGAAGAAAAGCUAACUAAACCAAUAUUUUCAUGAUUCAUAAUGUUGAAGAGUCCAAGUCUACUUUGUAUUGAGUGCUCAAUCAAGGGAUAAUUAAAAGGAAAAUAAAAUAGAAAAAAUUUUGAGAACAAAAACAAUAAAAAGAAGUACCAUUUUUUUAGAGGCAAAUUUCAUACACGGAGUCAGAAUGCUAGUCCGUUAUAUUAUUAAAACAAUAAAUAAAUUAUAAAUUUUUUUAAAAAAAAUUUAAUAUAUGUGGAGAAUUCAAAUUUGGAACCUUUCGAAGCAUUCAAUCUAUCUCUCUCCAAAAUGAAAUACAAAAAUUUUGAGGGGCCAAACCUGACAUCGAGAACAAACAAGAAAAAGGGGCACUUGAGAAUAGAGGUGGCAAAAUGGGCGGAUGGGCGGGAUUUGCUUGGGUUGAGAUGGAACCGAGUCAUAUGGGUUUGGGUCCAACCAUACCCAUAUGUGUUUUGGGACUAACUUGGCGGGAUCAUUUUGGGAUGGGUUUAGAUUCAUCCGCCCAAUACCCAAAUUCAUUUUCUACAUAUUUUUUUUCCUUUAAUUCAUUUUUUAUUUUUUAUAUAAUUUUAAUAUUUUUGAUUUAUUAAAUUUCUUUUAGUUUUAUUAAUAAACAUGCAAGUGCUUUAUACUCAAGAUUCCCACCAAAAAUUGGAUUAACAAAUAAAGGAAAAGAUAGAUAUACAGCCAUAUUCCAACAUAUAUCAAGAUGGCCAAGGUCCUUAGGACGUUGAAUAUUUAUCCUCAUCAUUGUCCAAGGAUGACAGGUCUAAACUAACUGAAAUGCUAGAAAUUCUUGUGGAUAAUGACUAAGAAGACUACUAGAUUAUAUUCGCUGGUAUGACUAUAAAAAUUGUUAAAGAUAAUUUUUGAAUCUAAGACUCCGUUUGGAUUGACUAUUUUUUCAAAAAAUAAGUUUUUCAAAUACAAUGUUACAGUAAUAUACAAUAACUCAAGAAACAUCCCAUCCAUAUUAGUAUAUCAAAUAUUUCAAAAAAAUUUUAUAGUAAAAAUUUUUCAUAUACACGGCUACAAUAAAAUAUUUCAAAAACACCUACCAAAAACAACUAAUCCAAACGGAGCCCUUGCCAUUUGAGCCCAAUGGGUACCCAAGUAUUUCCCAUCCUUUCCCAUUCAUUAAUGGGUAUAGUUGGGAUGUGUCCCAACUUAAACCCAAUACCAAAUUAUAAUACCCAUCCCGCCCAAAGUUCCUUUGGGCAUGGGUAGCCCAUUGGGACUUGGGACAAAUUGCCAGCUCUACUUGAAAACAAGAGGUUAGCUUACUUAUAUUGCUGCAAAAAUGUCCAAGUGUCAAGCGAAUCCCCAUAACUAUUUUGAAAAAACUGAUGAAGCCUCUAGAGAAAAAAGGGGAGAAAAAAACACUUUUGUAGUGUAACAUGAGGACGUCUUCGUGAAGGUUCUAUCCAGGAAAGAACCAAAAAAAAAAAGUGAAGCAUACCAGCUUUGACCAUGCCAUAUAUUCUUUUUUUUUUUUCGAGGGUUUUUUUUCUUCUAAAAAAGAAACAAAAGCAGAAUAUGUCCAGCUUGGUGGCAAUUUUCUAAAUUUAACAACCGCCUUUUCCUACCUAAAAAUAAAAAAAUAAAACCGACCUGAUCACAUCGAAUCUUAGCUCAAUUCCAACUUGGAAAAAGACCUCCACAUAGCCGUCCAGAUCAUCAACAACCGCUUAAUCCUAACCGUCCAUUCUUCAACAAACACCUAUAAAUAACCCCAACCAUCCCCCGGACUUUUGUUAACCCUCGGCGGUUUGGUUGUUAGGUAAGAAUCGUCUAACUCGGUUUUCUGCAUCGGUUUAGGGCUGUGAAAUUAGUUAAAUUGGAAUUGUCAAUCGACGGUAGGCUCUGAUUUAUUCAUGAUUGCUUUAGGUGGUAGCUCUGGUAUUCGGCGUUUUCGCGAUCAUCAGAUAGUUCGAGUUUUUUUGCAAUAGUUUGGUUUGUUGAUAUGAUGAUAAUUUGUCCAUCGUUCCAAUUUAUCGGACAAUUUUGGUGUCGGUUUUCCUUCUUGUUAAUGUUUCGAAAUUCACCUUGUUGUAGAAUUGGCAGAAUGGAGGAGAGAAGCGCUCUGUUGGAUGGAUUUGAAUGUGGUCCGAAAAUUUGGGAGUUCUUCUCUAAUCCCCUCUUGGUCUUGGGUUGUUCUUAUCUUUGCUUGAUAAAGUCACCGCCUUUAUUUUAUGGGGUCAUUGCUGACGAGCUCUAGGUGUUGUCUUGAUCUUAGGGGAGCUUGGAUUCAAGGGUUUGGUCGUGAUUAUUAUCCUGUUCUCCUGUUUUACAAAAUUUUGGGGGAGUUUUUCUUUCCCUACUUGUGGCUUUGUGCUGUUUUCCUGAACAACGAUUGGGAGUUUUUUUUUGGAUAAUAAUGAUUGAAAAACCAUAGGAGUUAUCCAACAUACAUGACUUUGUUUGGUAUUCCAGUUUAUCUGACAAUUUGGCAUCACAUUACCGUAUUGUUGUUGUUGCUUAGAGAUUGGCCUUGCUUUUAGAACGGUGGAAUUCUGGCCUUACGAGGAGAGGAGAUGUUUUGACUGGUGCUCUAAAAUCGGGAAAUUUACCACCUUUUAGGGAGUUAUUAUUAUCUGGCUCUACAUGUUGUCUUGAUCGUAGGGGAGCUUGGAGUUUUGGUCAUUGUAGUUACCCUGCUAUAUUGGUUUACGAGAUUUCAUAAAAGUUUGCUCUUUUCCUACUUUUUUUAAAAAUUUUUUUUUUUUAAAGCUGUUUUUCCUUAGGACUGAUGGGGACCUUCUGGAUAUGGUGAUUGAUUUGCUCUGCAUCUACCUCGUUAGGAUUGAAGGAUUGAACAACUCAAGUUGUCUGUUUCAAAGGAACUAUUUAACUUCCUUGACAUGACUUUGGUUGCUGGAAUCUGGGUACAGAUGACUCGGAGGUUUGAUGACAACUUACGUCUCUUGUCCGAAAUCAAAGGCUUUUUGCAUUGUUAACAAAGGGAGUUCGCACUAUUUUUUCCUUUUUGCUUGAGCCAACUUAGUGGUUUUGACACCUGUAAAUAUCUCAUGUCCCCCCCUUAAUGUUAGGAUCUUGGAAUUGAGACCUGUAUCUUCUAAUGCAUCCAAAGGCAUUUCCUCUUCAUAUUUUUAAGUAACUUUUUUUGCUCAUGUAUUUCUUGUUUUUUGCUGACACUUUGUUUAAAGUUGUACUGAUUAUUGGUCUUGUUCCAGGGGGUUCCCUUCAUCCCAACCUUUUUAGUUGUGGUUGCUCUAAGAGGUAACUGGCAUCAUCAAUUAUGCUGUGUUGUUCAAAUAGGAAGUGUGAAUUUGAUUGUUUUCAUCAUUGUGCAUUACAUGAUUUUGGAGAUUUUCUCGUCAUAUGCGUGAUGGUUAGGGCUUCUUUUGGCAGCUUCUAAAUGGUUGUUCGGGUUAUAUGUCCUCAGCUGUGUAGUAGGCGUUUUUUGGAAGGAGUUCUGUUUCCCACCUGUAUACUUGAAGGUCGUCUCUUUAGGCGGAUGUGGAAUUUCAAGUUUUGCAAUACUGGGUUUGUCGUCAUUAUGUUUUUCUCAUACAUGACAAUUUAUUAUUGGAAGAUUUUGACAUCAGUUAACUUUAUUGAUAUGUUAUCUCUAUAAAAUGAGUUGGGGGCACAACUAUCAGCAUUUAAACAGUACGUGAAGGAGAGCUGUCCUAUCCAAGGGAUGUGACAGUUUAAAGUGUUUGAAAGUAUUUUUCAACAUUUCUAUGCUGAUUACUGUUUAUAACAAUCUAUAUUUGAAAGCCAACAGUUUGCGGGUCAUUUGACUUUGUAUACUCAUGGAUUUUUGGUGAUUUUGAGCUGUUGUUGUGGUAUCUCGGGGCUUCCUUCUUCCAAUCAAAGCUUAUCUUCCUUGUCUUGGAGGAGUCCUCUUCUACCUUGAGCUAAUUGCACCUAGUUGUUUUUGAACUUGGUGGUUUUGGGAAUAUUUUUAAUGUCCAUCUCUCAUCUGUACUAUAGUGGCUUGGAUUCAAGAUUGAUCGUUUAGUACUGUAGCUGUGAAUUAUCUUCAACAUGAUUCUUGAGCCAAAAAGUUGAGCAGUUCUUCUCUUUGAUACUUGGUGUGACUGGUUUUCUUAACCAACAGUGGACAGCUUUUGGUUAGUCAUAAACCCAUUCUGUCCUCUAAUUUGAUGAAGAAGUUUGUGUGGCUAAAAUGUCUGAAAAGAGCUAUCAACACCCUUAUGUGCUUAUUACUUCCAAGUCUGUUUGUCUAUCUUCAUUUUAGGAAGAAGCUUGGAAUUAAAGAACUCACUGGGUUAAAGUGAUUGAAUGGCGUUCUCUGCUUCUUUGGAGCAUUACAUUUUUUUUUGGAAUCAUCUGUAAGGACUUUCUGUGUUUGUUGUGUACGAUCUUGGGUUUGUGUCUCCCUGUUUUCAUCGAGAUCUUUGCUUUCUUCUUCUGAGCCUAACACCAUUUACAUUGUUUUGGAGGAACUCUUUUCUGCCUCUGACUAAUUGAUCCUCUGUGCAUGAUCAAUUUUCAGUUUUCUAUUGAUGUUGAUGUCUCCUCUCUAUUGUUGGAACUGGGGUGCAAGAUGGGUGUUGUGCUUGAAGAUUUCCUAGGCUCUUUUAUCUGCUUCUUGAUAAUUUGGCGAAUUCAUUCUGCUGUUUGGCGCGGCAUUACAAUUUAUCCAUCUGCAUGAUGUUGUGAGAGAAAAUGGGAGUCUCUUUGUCCCUACUUUCCUUCUGAGCUUUUCUUGAUGAAAUAGUGGAUAACAUGUCAUCUUCAUUUUGGAAGGAGCUUGGAUUUGGUGAGCUCAGUGAUGUCAUUAAAAUAAUUGAAAGGAGUUCUCUGCUUCCUCGUGUAUUACUUUGUUUGAAGAUUGACAGUUCUGGGAUUAUCUGUAACAACUAUAUAUCUACAUCUUAGGAUCUUGGGUUUCAACCAUGCUGUUGUCAUUUAGAUCUUAGGCUUUCUUUUGUCAAAGGAUAUUUACAUCAUUGAAGGUCAAACUAAUUGUUUGUUUGUGGUUGAUCAGUUAUUGGUUUUGGGGAUGUUAUUGACGAAUAUGUUUCCUUUACUCCAGCAGCUUGCAUUCAAGUGACAUCCCAGGCUCUUUUAUCUGCUUUUGAUUUUUUGUUGGAUUCAUUCUUUCAUUGGAGCAAUAAUUAUUUUUAAUUAUUUGGGGUGGCAGUGAAUUCUACUGUGCUGUAAUGCGGAGAGAAUUGCAAGUCCUGUGUUGUGGUUUACAUGAUUUUGCGGGAGAGCCGGAGUUUUUUGCUUUCCCUGCUUUUGCUGUUAGGUUUCUCUGAACAAUAAUGGACAGUUUCUGGUUAAAUUUUGAGAGGCUUCAUCAUCAUCAUUUUAGGAAUUGAAGAAAGUCAGUGUGCAGUUAUAAAGUGAUUGAAAGGUGUGUGUGUAUUACUUUGUUUUGGGUUAUCUGUAACGCCUUCGCAUAUUUGUUUUAGGAGUUUAAAUUGGUCUGAGCUGUUGUAGUGACAUCUUCGGUCUCCUUUAGAUUAAAGGCUAUCCACGUUGGUUUGAAAGGAAUUCUAUUCUGCCUAAACUAAUUGUUUGUCAGUGGUUGACAAUUGACGAUUUUUGGGAUGUGGUAGCAUCUGUGUCUUGUUUGUAUUCUAGGAGCUCAGGUUCAAGAUUGCUUUUUUGGUAACAUCUCUGGCUGUUUUAUCUGCUUUUGAAGCUCGUACUGGUCGGCAUAGUUUCACGAAUAACGCCCAUUCCUGGUUAUUUGGUGUGGUUAUGAAAUAAUUAUUCGUUCUGAUGCAAUUACUAAUUGCAGUUCACCAGCUUAAGUAAUAAAUAUAUGUUUUUUCCUGGUCUAUGAGUUGAUUUCAGAGGUUGAGGACUAGUUAUUUUAGUUUCUAUGGUGUAUUUACAGCAGCUGGUCCUUUUUUUGUUGCUGCAGAGAAUACAGUGACUGGAUGCUACUUGCUUUGCUAACACCUUUGAUAUAUGCAGUCUUAGUGUUGAUAAUAAAUGCUUUGGACUGUCGGACCCUGUAGAUUGCCGGGUUGAUUGAUGAACUGUCAAUUCUACUCUUUCAAGUACUUGCUACAAUUCUUGUUCUGCAACUUUCACAGUGGUUUUCAAAAUUUUCAAAUGGUCUUCUGGAGGGUUUUCCUUGGGUUUGGAGGUAUGGGUACCUGCUUUGGCUUUUUGCAAAUUUGCGAGCAAAACUUUUGAGGUCCGUCUAAUGCCCUGUUUCUCUUUCUUUGCACCACAUAUCUUCAGAAUUGUGGGUUCAGCUAUACAAAAUGGUGGUCAUCUAUUAUAUUUGUGGAACUGCUAAGAGGUGGUUGUGUUAGUAUUUGAUAAUCUACACUUCUGUUGGUGGUCUAUCAUGUCAUGUUGCUUUGCACACAUUUGUGGUUCUCCUCCUGCUUGUUUGGCUGGAUAUGCGUAUUUAAAAGAGCUUCUAAAGUUAAAGAAGUGAAGGUUUCCUCUUACUCAGGUUAAUUUUUACUGUUCUCUUUUUCCACAUUCAAAUUUUCUGCUUGCUUAACAUUUGGAGAUACUGAUUCAAAGGUCAUUUCAUUUAAUUUUUUUCUUCCUUUUCUGGAAGCUAUAUGGGCUAUAUGUUGCUCAAUAUUUGCGUGAACUGUUUCAUCUUCAGAUGUCUGAACCUGCUCUACACCAUGUAGUUCUUUAUGCUUGCAUCCCCUCGUUCACUUCACGGUUUGUAAAGGUUUUUGAGAGUUUCAUGCGGUAAUGCUUAAUUCAUAACCAUGGUCAUUCAGAUGCUACUUGAGCACAGUUUUCAAUACAUAUGCAUCUGGUUUUUCCAUAUUUAACCUGUGAAGAUAUAUGGGUAGAGUGACUGCUAGCUGCAUUGUCUCUGGGGGCAUCUGGACAGAUGUCACAGAAAAUAAAAAUACAUAAAGCAGAAAGUGACAGCGUCAAAUUUGUUCAAGAAAAUAAUAAAGGAUUCAUUAAGCGUGCAAUACAGUUAAGAUUUCAAAUUUGUUCAAAUAAUGAGUAAAAGAUUCAUAAAGAUUCAUAAAGGGUGUUUUGCUAGGUAGCACUACUGGUCUGCUAGUUAAUCUGCUCAAUUUUUAACAUUCUAGCCAGAAUUCUGUGCAGGGACAGCUUUUGGUUUAGUUACAAAAAUUUGGGGGAGUUUUUCUUCCUCUACUUUUGGUUUUGUGCUGCUUUCCUGAACAAUGAUUGGGAGUUUUUUUUUUUUUUAAUGAUAUUGAUUGAAAAACCAUAGAUGUUAUCCAACGUAUAUGACUUUGUUUGGUAUUCCAGUGUAUCAGGCAAUUUUGGCAUCAUAUUACCGUAUUGUUAUUGUUGCUUUAGAGAUUGGCCUUGUUUUUAGAAUGGGGAAAUUCUGGCCUUCCAAGGAGAGGAGAUGUUUCUUGGAUGUGAAUGUGCUCUAAAUUUGGAGUUUUUUUUUUCCUUUCCCAUACCCUCCGUGUUGUAAUCUUUGCUUAAAAAAUUUGCCGCCUUGUAGUGAGUCAUUAUUAACUGGCUCUACAUGUUGUCUGAUUGUAGGGGAUCUUGGAGUUUUGGUCAUUGUCAUUACCCUGCUAUAUUGGUCCAUGAGAUUUCAUACACAUUUGCCCUUUCCUACUUUUUAUUAUUUUUAAAUUGUUUUUCCUGAGGACUGAUUGGAACCUUCUGGAUUUGAUGAUUGAUUUGCCCUCUGUCUACCUUGUUAGUACGAAGGAUUGAACAACUUGUGUUCAAAGGAACUAUUUAACUUCGUUAACUGACUAUGGUUGCUGGAAUCUGGGUCUAGAUGAUUUGGAGCUUUGGUGACAACUUUAUGUCUCCUGCCUAAGAUCAAAGGCUUUUUGCAUUGUUAAUGAAGGGAGUUCACAUUAUCUCUGCUUUUGUGCUUGAGCCAACUUAGUGGUUUUGACACCUGUAAAUGUCUCUGUGUUCCCCCCUUUGUGUCAUGAGCUCGGAAUUGAGACCUGUAUCUUCUAAUGCAUCCAAAGGCCUUUCUAACUCUUUAAAAAAAAAAAAAACUUGUGUAUUUUCUUUCUUGUGUUCUGACAAUACUUAACAAAGUUGUACUGAUUAUAUGGUCUCGUUCCAGGAGCUGACCUUCAUCCCAAACUCAGUUCUGUUUGCUCUGAGGAGGUAACUGGCAUCAUCAAUUACGCUGUCUUGCUCAAUUAGGGUGUGAAUUCGCUUGUUUUUGUCCUGUUGUUACCAGCAUUUACAUGAUUUCGGAGAGCUUCUCGUCAUAUGCAUCGUGAUGGUUGGGUUGGCUUCUGAAUGGUUGUUCAGGUUGUAUGUCCUCCUCUUCAUGUUAGGAGCUUAGGUUGAAGAACUCAUCCGUGUAGUGGGCAUUGUUUGGAAGUGGUUCUGGUUCUUUAUCUUUAUUACUUGAAUGUUGUCUCUUUAGGCAGCUGUGGAAUUUCAAGUUUCGCAAUGUUUGGUAUGUAAUCAUUUUUUAUGGUUCUCUCUUAGAUGACAAUUUGUUAUUCAAGGAUUUGAGAUCAGUUAACUCUAUUUAUAUGUUAUUUCUAUAAAAUGAGAGUUGGUGGCUUAACUAUCAGCAUUUAGAGAAUAUGUGAAGGAGAGCUAUCCAAGGGAUGUGACAGUUUAAGAGUGUUUGAAUGUAGUUCUCUGUGUCUCCACACUGAUCACUGUGUAUAACUGUUUGAAAACCAACAGGUUCUGUGCCAUUUGACUUUGUAUACUUGUGGAUUAUUGACAAUACCAGGCUGUUGUAGUGAUACCUAAGGGCUUCCUUCUUCCAAUCAAGCUGUAUACCUUGUUUUGGAGCAGUCUUCUUCUACCCUGAGCUAAUUGUUGCUAGUUGUUGCUGAAGUUGGUGGUUUUGGGAAUGUUUUUAAUGACCAUCUCUCAUCUGUGCUGUAGGGGCUUGGAUUCAAGGUUGAUCUUGUGUCUUAACACUUUUAAGGAUCUUUUAGUUGCUUUUGAUUGAUUUUGUGUGUGUGUGUGUGUGUGUUUUUUAAGUACCAAGGUGUGGCAGUCAAUUUGAUUGUUCAGUACUGUAGCCGUGAAUUGUGGUCAACAUUAUUCUUGAGCAGUUCUUCUCUUCAAAUACUUGGUGUACAGGCUUUCUUGAGCAACAGUGGGCAGUUUUUGGUUAGUUAUAAACCCUUUGGUUUAUCCGUAAGGACUUUUUUGUAUUUGUUUUAGGAUCUUGGGUUCGAUUCUUCAUCGAGAUCUUUGCUUCGUUCUUGUAAGCCUAAGACUAUUUACUUGGACCCCGUACCAGUUGAUCUCUGUGCUUGAUCAAUUAUUGGUUUUCUGGAAAUUGUUGAUGUUGAUGUCUCCUUUCUAUUGUAGGAACUGUGGUACAAGAUGGGUGUUGUGCUUGAAGAGACUCUAAGCCCUUUUAUUGCUUCUUGAUUAUUUGUCGAAUUCAUUCUGUUGUUUGGUGUGGCAGUAAAAUCUACCUCUCCGUAAUGUGGGUGAGAAGUGCAAGUCUAUGUUCUCUUGUUCAUGAUUUUGCAAGAGAAAAUGGGAGUUUUCUCCUUCCCUGUUUUUCUCCUGAGGUUUUCUUUGACCAAAUAGUUGACAUGUCAGGUUGACUAAGAUCUAUGUCAUCUUUAAUUUGGAAGGAUCUUGAAUUCGAGGAGCUCAGUCAUGUCGCUAAAGUAACUGAAAGGAGUUCUUUGCUGCCCUUCAUGUAUUACUUUGUUUGAAGAUUGACAGUUUCUGGAUUAUCUAUAAAAUUCAUUCUUUCUUCACUGGUUUAAUGAAUAAUCUUUCUUAAUCAUUUGGUGUGGCAGUAAAUUCCAUGUUCUGUAAUGUGAUGAGAAUUGCAAGGGCUGUGUUGUGGUCUAAAUGAUUUUGAAGGAGAACCAGAGGAGUAAUUUCCUUUCCCUAUUUUUCAUAUUGGGUUUCUGUGAACAAUAAUGAACUGUUUCUGGUUAUCUAUUGAAAUGCUCCUGUUCAUCAUCAUUUUAGGAAGGAGGUUGGAAUUGAAGAAGUCAGUUGUGUGGUUAAAGUGAUUGAAAGGACUGUGUAUUAGUAUGUCUUAGGCUAUCUGUUAUGCCUUUGCAUAUUUGUUUUACGAGUUUCAAUUGGUUGGAGCGGUUGUAGUGACAUCUGUGGCCUCCUUCAGAUUAGAGGCUAUCCAUAUUGGUUUGAAGGAAUCCUAUUCUAUCUAAAUCAAUUGUUUGUUAGUGCUUGACAAAAUCCCUGGCUGUUUCAUCUGCUUUUUAUGAGUUUCAUGGAUAAUAUCCAUUCCUGAUUAUGUGGUGCAGUUGCUAAAUAAUUGGAUGCAAAUACUAAUUUCUGUUCAUCAGCUUAAUCUGGAAAUAAUUUUUUUUCAUGGUUUAUGAGUUGGAUUUUUUCUUAUUCUGGAGGUCUGGGACUUUUUUAUCUUAAUUUCUGUGGUGUAUUUAUAGCAGAUUGAGCAUGUAUUGGAGGUUUUGGCUAUUUUCUGAUGAAGUUUGCUAAGUCUUUAGCAAAGUUGAUUAAAGUGCUGCUGUUGUAUGCCGGUGAUUUAACUUUUUUUACUCCAACCUGCUUAUGAUCCUGCAGUCAGAAAAUGGGGCUUCUUUUCCUACUGUUCUCCACUGUUGAUAUAAAAGAAGCUGAGGCACCAGUUUCAAGGGGAUAAAAAUGAGAUAGAAAAUGUUUUCAUAUUUUUGAGGCCUUGUCUGACACUUGUAGGGCUCCAAUCCUAUUGUUUUUGCUGCAACUUAAAGGUGCCUCGUGUUUCUCCAAGUUUGAUUCAAGCUUUCACCUGAGCGUAUCCAUUUACUUGUGAGUUAAGUUAUGCAUCCUCAGCUUUUUGUUGUGGCAUGAAUCUGAGUGUAGAAUUGUGUGUGGAAGACAUUUAUUUCUUUAUUUUCUUGAUGAAUUUUACAAUUAGGUUAGAUUGUUACAAAUUGGUGGAAAACAGAUAAAGAAGAUUAAAUAAGGUAAUUACAUUUAUGUAGGCGUUGAUUAUAUGAUAUAGAUGCAUGCAGACAAGAUUUUUCUAUAAUCUUAAAUGAGAGAGCAGAUCAUUCAGGUGUAUUAGAGUUGUGGGUUAUUUCUUUUUCCAGAACAUACAUUUUGCAGACAUCCUUACUCCCAGUUCUAGUGAAAGCUACCCAGGAAAUUGAUAAAUCUUGUUUUUAUGUUGGUUCAUCAUGUUUUUGUUGAGAUUGCUCUGUGAGGUUUGUUGCAUGUCUAUUCAUGAAUAUGUGCGGGAAUGGAAUUUUCUCUGCGUAUGCUCUUUUUUUAGGCCCUUGGAAACGGAUUGCAUUCUCUUGUGCUGGAGUCUCCUUGCAUCUGCACCAACUUUUGAUAGUGUGUAAUUUCCUCAAGAGUACAUCUUCUCUUUCUUCAUUUUUUUUUUCUUAAUUGUCUUUGCCAAUGCAAGUUGCUUAUUUGUUUCUGCUGUUUGUAUGAUGCUUGUAACUCCGCCUCUGUGAUAUCGCCAGAGCCGGUCCCAAGCCCGGAAAUAAGGAGGAGGGAAAGCUGCUCUUUUGUUGGUUACUACACUAUAAUGGCUGAUGUAGUAGAGCUUUUCUUAGAUGUUAUAUAUAUAUAAUAUGUAACAUUAUAUAUAUGCCUCUAAUAUGUUUAUUAUUUAUUGAGGAAAAAUAAUUAUUUUAUUUAUUUAUAAAAAAAUAAAUAAAUUUUUUAAUUUUUUAACGUUCGAAUAAGCUCGAGUUUGAGUUCAACUAGUCUCGAAUUUGAGGUUAAAUUCAAGUUCGAGUUUUACAUUGAAAGUUCGUCGACCUCAAUUUUGAGUUCGAAUUUGAUAAAAUUAUCAAGAUUCGGCUUAAUCAAACUAAAAUUCGGUUCAAUUUGUCUCAUUUGCAGCGCUAAGGCGGCGGCAGUUCCUUGUCCUUGUGGGCAGUAAAGCAAUUGGCAACCUAAUGUUGAAAAUCAUGUGAAGUCGCCAGGAACAGGGUUAUAACAAAAGUGUGGCAAUUCCCACGUUGUGUUAAUAAUAUUUCCUCGAGAUUCACAACUGGGUGGACAAAAUACAUUAAGGAGGUUACUAAUGCGGAUUAUUACUGAUACAAUCAACUUGCAAGAUGCAGGGAUGGUUGGGUUGGAUGGUAAGAAAAGAAGAAUUAUAAGUAGAAAGUUUUGAUUAAAAAUUGCCACUUAAAAAAAUCAAUUUGCAAGAUAUAAAUUUCUGUAUUUGCUCAAAGAAUCAAAUGAUAGAAUUAACGUGCCAUGUUGUCUUCUUUAAUAUGUGUGUAUAUUCAAGAUUCACAACUAACUGAGAAAAUUUUAGUGGUGGGGUCCCUGAUAAUCAACCCGCAUUAUACUUUGAAAGGUUUUUUUUUUUUGGUUGGUCGGACCAAAGCUUUUGAUAAUGUAUAGAAGACUGCAUCCGCAAAAAAUUAGUCUAACCCACUCUAAUUGUAAUUUUAGGCACUUCACAUUCAUUACGUCCUAACCAAUUUGGCAAAACUUUCCUAGAGCCAAAGCGUCUAAUGGUUUAGAUUCUACAAUUACUUCAGUUGUAUUUUGUGGAUAAAUCUAAUGGAUAUUUUAAUUUACACACUCACACUUACUAUUCCCUUGCAUUUUCUAAUAAGUUACUAAUUCUUAAAUAAUAAAACUAUCAUAAUUGACUCAAAUAGAAUUACUAAAACUCUAACUUGACUAAAACGCUACUAAAUAAUAAUAUGAAAAUUUCUAAUUUGGAGUCUUGAUUUAAUAUGCCAACAUUGCCUUCUUUAAGUCAAACUCAACAUGAGUUUGUAUUGGUUCUUCAUUUUCAAAGACUUUUUUCGUUGCAAUAAUCCACGCAUCUGGAUAGAUUGUUUUUUUCAUACAAUUUGAUGUCAAUUCAUUGACAAUUCACCACUUUGUAAUUUUCAUAAUUACAAUUCAAUUGACAGGAUUCUUCUUUGAUCUCUGUCUUUACACCCACAAUUAAUCUGACAAUUCUUCCGAACCAAUCUUAUGGUCCAAUCUUUACCAAUUGAAUACUUCAUGAUCAAUCUUGUGGGCUAAAUCAAUCAAUUAAUUUCUUCGCAGCAAUCUCUUAUGAUCAUAAGCCUCACAACACGAAAACAGCCAUGACUAUCCUCGUAGCUGGUCAAUUUUUCAAUAUUCAUAGGCAUCCCAAGAUUAAUUUCUUGAACUUAGGGCUCUGUUACCAGAUGUAGAACAAAAAAAUUAACUAAAAAUAUAUUGGAGAUAUAUUUGACAAAACCAAAAUGAGGGGGAGGCAAUUUACACACAUAUAAGUGGAAAUUUUCUAAUAAAAUACUAAUUUCUAAACAAUAAAACUACGAUGACUUGACUCUAAUAGAAUUACUAAAACUCUAACUUGACUAAAACACUAUUAAAUAAUAAUAUGAAAAAUUCUUAUUUUGAAUUUUGAUUUUAUAUGCCGACAUGUAAGUAGGUUACUAGUACAAGCAACUUGCAAGAUGUGGGGAGGUUUGGGUUUGGGUAAGAGCGAGGGAUUACAAGUAGAAAAUCCCAUUCAAGACCUCUCAUUAAAAAAAAAAAAAAAUCAGCUUGCAAGAUAUAAAUCUCUGUAUUUGCUGAUAGAAUCAAAAAACUGAUGGAGUUAACGUGCCAUGUCGUCUUCUUUACUCUCUUCGUCCCAUUAAAAGUGUUAUACUUUCCUUUUUUGGCUGUUCCAAAAUAUUUGUCAUGUUUAAUAUUUCUAACUACUUUAUACUCUGAAAUUUUCCUUAUAUCCUUCAUUAAUGAUGCAUAAAAACAAAUAUGUUGGAAUUGUUUUCUAUUUUUUUACUUUGACCAACACAUGAUUAAGGGCAAAAGUAAAACAAAAGGAAAAAUAUUUUAGUGGAGUGUACUAUGCAUAACAAACACGUAUCCCCAAAUAUGACUAAAUAUAUGGGACGGAAAGAGUAAUAUGUAUGUACAUUCAAGAUCCACAACUAACGGACAAAAUAUAGGUGGUGUGGUCACUGAUAAUCAGCAUGCAUUAUGCGUCUAGCCCAAAGCUUUUGAUAAUGUAUAGAACACUGCAUGCGCAAAAAUUUGGUCUAAUCCCACACUCUAAUUGUAAUUUUAGGCACUCCACAUUCAUUGCAUGCUAACCAAUUUGGCAAAACUUUCCUAGAGCCAAAAUGUCUAAUGGUUUAGAUUCUACAAUUACUUGAGUUGUUUUUUGUGGAUAAAUCUAAUGGAUAUUUUAAUUUACAAACUCACACUUACUAUUCCCUUGCAUUUAGAUACUUUCUCAAAUUAGUUACAAUCUUGUCAAAAAAUUUGUAUUCCCUGGGCGCUCUCAAGGGCACCUGUUAGCACCCAUCAAGAAAAGGAUACUUCAAAUAUGUUUUAUAAUCAAUGAAAAAAAUUUAACAACAAAAUACAAGACCAUUAGAUUCUUAUUAAUCGAGUCAAGAGUCAUAAAAAAAAGUUUGGAAUGUAAUCCUGCAAGUCUGUUACUAAAAUUAAAUCCAAUUUUACCCCAAAAUUCUAUCUAUCAGAAUAAUUAAAUGUAAAAAAGAGAGAAACAAGGUAAGCCUUUUGAUUUGAAGAAGUUGAGUACUUGAGCAUAUACUUAGUGGAAGAACAUGUAAUCAACAACUAAGGGGAUAUAUGGGAAAAAAAUAACAUUAAGUAAAAGUAAAAAUAAUUUUUUGUGAAUUUUAUCAAAAUUGAAAAUAUAUUAAAAAUAUAUCAUAAUUGUUUGACUUCAUGUAAUUUGUAUUUUACAUUGCUAAUUAUAUUGCUAGUAAAUGAAAAUUUUAACUAAAAAUCUAUGUAUUAAAAUGAAUCAAGUAUUGCAAUUGAAAAAUUUUUGAUAUCAAUCCUCAUUUAUUUUUGACGUAAAAAUAUCAAAAUUUUACAUAAAUAGACAAAUACAAAUAUAGAAGUAAUAGAACAUAUUAUGUCCUAUAAGUUAAUCCAUAGCAAUUGAGUCAAAUUUGUAUUUAGUAUGUAUUUAGUAUAUUUCAUUCUAAUAUCUGAAUAUUGAUUAUACCAAAUAUUAGAAAUUAAGUAAAUAUUCCAUUUUCACUACUCUACCAAACUUGAAUAAUAAUUUUUUCCCCACAAUUUUGGCUGGAAAUGUAUUCUGAGUGGAAAGCCCUUUUCAUUCUAAGCAUUUUCGCGUACCAAACAAGGGAUAAUUAAGUUUUGUUAUUAAAGCUGAUCUUAUAGAGCCACAAGGAAAGCGAUCUUCGGACGCGGUUAAAUUCAAUCUCUCCUCUCUAGUCCAGUUUACUUUUUAAAUUUUUCUUGGGCAUCCAUAUUCUAUUAAAAUGUUACAACUUACAACCAUUUCUUCGUUGGCCUUAGCCCCGUUUGGAUUGCAUUUUUCGUCAUUUUUCAUAAAAAAAAUACUGUAGCGAUUUGAUGUAUAUGAAAAAAAAAGAUAAUAAAGAAAUAUAAUCACAGAAAACGACGCAAUUUUCUGACAAAAAAUGGCAAUUCAAACAGGGCCUUAUUUUGGCCAACAUGAACAACCUAUCAUAAAAGAUAAUAGUCAAAUCAACAUCAACCUACUUUAAUUUAAGUAAUGAUAGAAUCUUGUAUACGGGAUCCGGGGCUGGAACGGUUGUCAGAGCAACCGUUCCGGAAGGUGUAACAUCAUUUGUGUACGGUGUAACAUCAUCUGUAUAAGGUGUAACAAAAGAACAACAGCGAGUAACACUAGAACAACAUUUUUGUGGGUUCCACACGGCAUGAAAAUUGAGUUAUAAGGAGUGAUCUGAGCCGCACAAAUUUUUUUGGCCUAAUCAUGACCGUGAACUUUCCGGAACGGUUGUUUCUGACAACCGUGCGAGCCCCUCCUCCUUAUAUACGUUAUAGAUGAUGGAGACUGCGCACCAAAGCCCCAAAUUUAUUACAAAAAAAUAUGGGAUAAUUUCAAAAACCACCCUUGAGGUUUUUAAUAAUUUUACCUAAUUUCCUUGAGGUUUGAAAAAUUAUAUAUACCUCCCCCAAGUUUACCAUUUCUGUAACAAAACUAUUUAAUGGUCAAAUUUUUGAUUGAAUAAUUCAAAAUGCCCUCAUGAAAUUGCAAAGUUCACUUUACUUUCUUAUAAAACUAGUUUUGUACCCGUUCGUUGAACAGGGAUCAUCGAAAAAUAAUAAACUAUUUAGUUAAUUUUAUAAAAAUGUCGAUAUAAAAUAUAAAUUUAAUAUAUAAUUUAUUAUAACUUGUCUUAAGUAUAUUACUAUAUGCGCAUUGUAAUAUAAAGUAUUCUUAUAAUAUAAAAUAUAUUACUAUGUGCGCAUGAAUCUGAGUAACAAUUUAUUGUGAAAUCCAUUAAGAAUGCUACUAAAAAGAAAUAACAAUAUGUUUAUUAAGAGAAAUUCACUGAUGUUUAUGUCAUUACCUCUGAAUUGUUUAACUGUCAAUGAAGAGAUCACCAACACUAAUGGUUGAUCAGACACAAAAAUAAUCCCAUCAUCGAACUGGUUCGAUGUUGUUCCCCAUAACGUGACAUUAAUGCUUUCACCACAUCAAUAUAAAGUACUCAAAAUUAAUACUUGAAUAGAAAUUACUCAAAAUUAAUUGUUCAAAUAAGAAUAUGAGUUGAUCUUCAUAUUAUAACUAAUUUAUUUAGCAGACUAAAUUUAAAAAAAUGCAGCAAGUACCUUUUAUUAGUAAUUGCAAUAUCUCGUUUUUUUUUUACAGUUCCAUUACUUUUUGAAACUUCAUAAAUUGGUCCCACUUUAGAAAGUCUUCCCAACACAUCUAUAUUACACACAAAUGAAUAAGUAUAACACAUAUAGUUAUCUAGGAAUCACUACUUUCAAAUUAAUAAAAUUAAAAGUAGUAUUUAUAAAAGUAGUAUUUACCCUAUUAACUUAUUACAUCAUACCUGAUAAGAAUGUAAAAACUUGACAUCGUGAAGAGAGGUCAUUGAAAUCGAUGAAUUCAAAUUUAUGAAAUUUUAUUGGAUUCAAUUAACUUUUUCUUUUCCAUAAAUUUCGUGCUAUGCACUAUGUCAUGAUGACACACUUAAUAAUAAAAUUUAUUAAGAAUCCUAUUAAGCAACUACUUGCCGUCUCGUUAAGCCACGUAGGUAAGAGAAAAUAUGAAGAGAUAAGAAUGAGGAUAUGACUUUAUUAUAUAUAUAUAUAUGAUUAUUCAAAAACUAUGAAACAUGCACAAAAUUUCAAACUCACUUUUAAUCCUCAUCUCUACUAUUUUAACUCUUUUCAUAUUACCACAUUUCAAAUUAGUACUAUUAUCACCAUGAUCAUUACUACCAUCAAUCCUUAAAUUCUAAAACCUCAAUCGAGAUUCAAAAAAUUUGUAUUGUUAAACUUAAAAAAUUUUAAUAAAAGCAUCAAUAUAACAUCCUAUCUGUCAACUAUUGGAGUAUCAAUAUCAGCUCUAUUCUUUUUAAACCCAAUUUACAUAUUCUUCUAAUCAUCUUUAGAUCCUCCAAACAAAGCUAAAAUUAAUUUUGAAUAUAUUAUUAUUGUGUUUAAGACAAGGUCGAAUAUUCCACCAGUGAAUUUUUUGUUUCCAUUAAAUUUCUAAUUUUGUGAUGCAUUCAUAUGAGCAAGAUUAGGAGUAAAUUGUUUAAUUGCAUGAAAAAAUAUUAAUAUGUUAAGACUAUUAUGGUUAUUUUGUAAAGCCAAGGGAGGCAUGUAUAAUAUUAAAAACCUUAAAUGGUACCAUGUGAAAUUGUCAGAAAUCUCGAGGGAGGUUUAUGAAAUUAUCCCAAAAACAACAAAAUGAUUGAAUAUAAUGUCAGAAACCUCCCCUGAGAUUUUUGACAAUUUCAUUGAGCUCCCCUGAAGUUUGAAAAAUUAUACAUAUCUUCCUUGUCAUUUAAAAUGACAAUACUACCUUUAAAUAUUUUAAUAAAAUUCCUAUUGUUUGGUAUGCUUAUACUUAGAAUGACUUUAAAAUUAUUUUUUCAUUCUUUUUCCUUCUUAUUCCUUUUUAUUUAAUUUUUUGCCAAUAGAAUUGUAAAAUUACCACUAUUAUCUCUAGUUUCUAUUGUUAUCAAAUGUUGAAUUAAUAGUUUUUUUGAUGAGUUAACUUUAUAUAUAAUCCGAUUUUUUUUUGCUAAUCUUUGUUUUCUAUUUUUUGGUAUUAAAAUUAAUAAUAAAUCAAAAAUUUUUUUUGUCCAAAGUCACUACUAGAUUAUGAUUAUUCCACAACUCAAAAAAUUCAUAAACUCUGAAUCAAUUAUUUCAACAUUUUAUUUUCUAUCUUAUAAAUCUAAAUUUAUAAUAAAAUACCAUAAAAAAUAUCCUAUCAUAGUGAUAAAAUUAUUAUUGUAAUUAUUUAUCAAAUAGUAGGUAUAGACACGAAAAAUUCGGUACCUUUUCCUUAUAAUUACAUUAGAUAAUCUUAUAAUUCUAUAGGGAAGUAAUUUAAAACUCAUUACACAAGGGCAUUUUUGGGUAUUCAUUUAAAAAUUUGAUCAAGUCAAUAUUAUUUUAAGGUUUUGUUACUAAAUCUAUCAAAUCAAAGAAGUAUGUGUAAUUUUUUAAACUUCAGGGGAGUUUAGUGAAAUUGUCAGAAACCUCAGGGGGUUUCUGAAAUUAUCCCUUGAAUUAAACCAAUCCAAGGAAUACAGCAUUCAACCAACAAUGAAUUAACAAAUGAUAGGAGGGAGGGAUAGGUUGGAUGGUAUGGAAGAAGGGAGUGUAAUUGAAAAGCUCAGGUUCGAGCAAAGCUGUUUAGUACUUUAUCAAUAAAUAUAGUGCAUCCUCAAUACAAUUUAGAAAUAAAAAUAUCUUUUGAAUCUAGAAUAAUAAAUAUAGACAUUAUGUUAGCCAACCCAAACUUAAAUUUUGAUGAAUUAAAUUUCUGUAAGAGAAUAGAGUGCCAAUGAUACACUAAAAAAAAAAAAUGAUAAAGUCGAUGUUCAGUCUCUAUAUAUCAACAUCAGAGCCUGGAAAGAAGAAAUAGUGUAGAAGUAAAUGUUACCUAAAGAUAUCACCUAUCUUGACAAUUGUCGCUGUGCAUUAAACAAUGAAAGGACAGGGAGUGAAGUAAUUGCUGAAUUCUCUCGGUACACCUACCUUCUUUCCUUCAUGCAUUUCACUAACUUAAGCAUCGAAGCUUAUUCCGAGGGAGAUAGCCCCGCCUUUUCAGGUUUUCUUGACUAGACAAGGAGUGAAGUAAUCAAGGUACUAUAAGUAGGUGCAAGAUUUUGCCUCUGCAUAGCCCUUUUGUCCUACCCAAAUUUGGAUUGUAGAACUUUUCAACAUUCUGCACAUAAAGAUUCUGCAAUAGAGCUUUGUCAAAGCUUGCAAAAUUUAUAUUUUUGAAGUAGUAAUUUGACUAUGGAAUUUGUGGACAAUGAUAAACUUCAUGUCCUAUUUCUUCCAUACUUGAGCCCAAGCCACAUGAUCCCUCUUGUUAAUGCUGCCAGGCUAUUUGCUGCUCAGGGCGUUAAGGUAACUAUUCUCUCCACCAAAUACAACACUGUCCUGUUUCAAUCCUCCAUUGAUCAUGCCAUCGAAUUAGGCCACGAUAUUACAAUUCACAACUUGAAAUUCCCAUCAGCUGAAGUGGGACUACCAGAAGGAAUCGAGUAUUUCACCGCGGCUACUACAAAAGAAAUGCUUCCCAAGGUACACAUGGCUGUGUUGCUGCUCCAAAAACCAAUGGAAGAACUUGUUCAGCAUCUUAAUCCUCACUGUAUUAUAUCGGACAAGCACUUUUUUUGGACAUGUGAUUUAGCGCAGAAGCUGAACAUACCAAGAAUCUUGUUCUAUCCAGAAAGCUUCAUUUCUCAUUGUUUGCGCCAUAACCUUCGGCAAUAUGAGCCUCAUAAGUCAGUCAGCUCAGAUUCUGAGAGUUUCUUGAUCCCUGGUUUACCAAACAAGAUUGAAAUGAAGAAGUCCCAAUUGGAGGAUCACAUGAAGGAAACAACACCGUACUUUGAAAUGAUAGUAAAGCCAAUCAAAGAAUCAGAGCUUAGGAGCUUCGGCUUGCUUUUUGACACUUUUUAUGAGUUGGAUUCUCAAUAUGCUGAUUACUUUGAAAAGGUAAGACGGAUAAAGUUUUGGACCAUUGGACCUCUUUUCUACUUCUCCAACAAGGAGAAAACUGACAUUACUGCCGAUGGGAAGGAGAGUUGCUUAAACUGGCUUGAUAGUCAGGGGGCCAACCAAGUCCUCUACGUUUCUUUUGGAAGUGUUGUAAGAUUCUCAACCGCCCAACUCAAGGAAAUUGCAUUAGCUCUUGAGGCUUCGAACCAACCGUUCAUUUGGGUUGUCAGGAAGAGAGAAAAUGACCAAGAUAAUCAACAAGAGAGCUGGCUGCCAGAUGGUUUUGAAGAAAGAAUGACUGAAGGAAACAAAGGUCUGAUCAUUAGAGGUUGGGCUCCGCAGCUAAAGACCUUGAACCUGUUGAGUUUCAACAAAUGUUGGCUGCCUCAAUUCUUGAAUUUGGAAGCCAACAUUGUUGACUUCUCUUUGGCACAAUUUAAUCCCACAUCGGUUGGGUUAUUGGAAGAAGCUUAGCUUGAGAACUAUAAAUAGCUCUCAAGUCUUUCCAAUUAAAAUGUACCAAGAACAACAAAGAAUUACCCCUAAGGAUUUUGUAAUUCUUUGUAUUCUUUCUUCUCCAAAAAUUUAUAAAAGCGGGCUGCUUGAGUGGUGCUUGGAGAGUAGGCAAAAUUGGCCGAACUCCGUUAUCAAUUUUUCGGGUGCGUUCUUUCCAUAUCUCUUUUAUUUGUUCCGCAUUUAUUUAUUAGUUUCUUUUCUGUUGUAGUAUAGUAUUCAAUAUAUUUGUCUAUAUUUGUCGGGUUUAUUUGUAGUGUUUUAUACGAUUCAUUUGGGUGUAUUUUUCUUAUUCGUGUGUACGUAUUAUUUAUGUAUACACGGGUAUAGUUGUGAUAAUACACCGUGCACGUAAGUUCUGUCUAGGAGACUGGGUUUUAAGUGGGACCGCUUGUGACCCCUCCAGCCUUUCCUGGGAAUUUACUUGGAAUGAUAAUUCUGUCUAAGGAGAUUGUUUUGACGAUCUUUCCUGAGAAUUACUGAAUCGGUUUAAUCACUAGUUGUAAUCUUGAGUGGAAAAAUACCCGAUUUCCCCAACAAGUGGUAUCAGAGCCGAAGGUUCGUCCUUUGGCUUGUUUGUAGUUUGUUAUAUUGAAUACUAUCAUUUGAGUCUGUAAUGGCAUCUGACAAUUCCACGUCAAGAAUUAUAUCUGGGCAUCGGCUUCCUCGUCCACAUGGUCGAGGAUUCCAAUGUCAAGUUUGAAGGUGGCGGUGGACACAUUUGACGGUACUGGCCAUUUCGGCAUGUGGCAAGGCGAAGUCAUGGACUCCCUUUUCCAACAGGGUCUUGACAUUGCCAUUGAAGAAAAGAAACCAGAUGACAUAGAAGAGAAGGAGUGGAGUACCAUAAAUCGGUUGGCAUGCGGAACUAUUCGAUCGUGUUUGUCCAAAGAGCAAAAAUAUGCUUUCAAGAACGAGACUUCUGCAUGGAAAUUGUGGAGGGCAUUGGAGGAGAAAUUUCUGAAGAAAAGUGGUCAGAAUAAACUCCUAAUGAAGAAAAGAUUGUUCCGUUUCGAUUACCAACCAGGUACUACUAUGAAUGAACACAUCACUAUGUUUAAUCAAUUAGUAGCAGACCUGUUUAAUUUAGAUGUAAAUUUUGAAGAUGAAGAUUUGGCUUUGAUGUUGUUAUCAUCCCUUCCUGAUGAAUUUGAACAUUUGGAAACUACGUUACUUCAUGGGAAGAAAAAUGUGUCUUUAGAUGCUGUAUGUUCUGCUUUGUAUAGUCGUGAAUUGAGAAAGCAGGAUAAAAUGAAAAAGAAAGUAGCUGCAGCAGAUGAAGCGUUAGUGGCAAGAGGUCGUCAACAAAGCCAAUCAAAGGGGAGAAGAGGAAGGUCCAAAUCGAAAAGCAGAGUUGCCAAAGAUGAGUGUGCUUUCUGUCGUGAGAAAGGGCACUGGAAAAAAGACUGUCCAAAGUUAAAGAAGAGAGGGAAAGCUCCGCAAGACGUAAAUGUUGCAGAAUGCAAAAGUGAUGCGGAAUCAGAUUUCUCCUUGGCUGUAUCACCUUUAACAUCCCAUCCAAAUGAGUGGAUUUUGGAUUCAGCUUGUACCUACCAUAUGUCUCCCAUACGAGAUUGGUUCUUUGAAUUUGAAGAACUUGAUGGUGGAGUAGUGUACAUGGGAAAUGACAAUCCAUGUAAAACAGUUGGGAUAGGUUCAAUCAAGCUGCGUAAUCAUGAUGGAUCCACCAGAAUCCUGAAGGAUGUUCGGUUCGUGCCGAAUUUGAAGAGGAAUCUCAUCUCCUUGGGACUCUUGGAGUCAAAAGGCCUGGAAGUGAAGAUGCGAGAUGGAAUUCUUAAAGUAACUUCGGGAGCACUUGUGAUGUUGAAAGGUGUGAGGAAGAAUAACCUGUAUUACUACCAAGGUAGUACAGUUUUUGGGACAGCAGCAGCAGCAACAUCUUCCAGUAGCAAGAAAGAUGCAGAGGCAACAAAGUUGUGGCACAUGCGAUUGGGACAUGCUGGUGAAAAAUCCUUGCAAAAUCUUGCCAAACAAGGAUUAUUGAAAGGUACGAAAGUUUGCAAAUUAAAAUUUUGUGAGCAUUGUGUUCUGGGAAAACAAAGAAAAGUGAAAUUUGGCACUGGUAUCCAUAAUACCGAGGGUAUUUUGGAUUAUGUACACUCAGAUGUGUGGGGACCUGCCAAGACUCCAUCCCUUGGUGGCAGGUAUUAUUUUGUCACUUUUAUUGAUGAUUUUUCCAGAAGAGUUUGGGUGUUUACUAUGAAGAGCAAGGAUGAGGUGCUAGAGAUUUUCCUUAAAUGGAAAGCUCAGGUUGAAAACCAGACGGGAAGAAAGAUCAAGAUUCUCCGAACAGACAACGGUGGAGAAUACAAGAGUGAUCCCUUCCAGAAGAUAUGCCAAGAAUGUGGCAUAGUUCGGCACUUCACAGUUAGAAAAACACCGCAGCAGAAUGGGGUGUCAGAACGUAUGAACAAGACACUAGUAGAGAAAGUACGUUGCAUGCUGUCUAAUGCUGGGUUAGGCAGAAAAUUUUGGGCUGAGGCUGUGACAUACGCUCAACAUCUCGUCAAUCGCUUGCCAUCAUCUGCAAUCGGUGGCAAGACUCCAUUAGAGGUAUGGUCUGGAAAACUUGCAACAGAUUAUGAUUCUUUGCGUAUUUUUGGUUCUACUGCAUAUUAUCAUGUAAAUGAAUCAAAAUUGGAUCCACGUGCAAAGAAGUCUCUCUUUAUGGACUUUAAUGCUGGAGUUAAGGGAUACCGGUUGUGGUGUCUAGAAGCAAAGAAAACCAUUAUCAGCAGGGAUGUUACCUUUGAUGAAUCUGCCAUGUUGAAUAAGGUAACACAAGAUGAAACCAGUGGUACUCCGCAACAGGUGGAGUGUACGCCGAAACAGGUGGAGUUUGAGCAAAUAAUGGUGAGUCCAGCAAAUAGCACCAUCAGUGACUCUCCCGUGGCAGAAGAUGAGUCAGAUGAGGAAGAGGUUUCAACCCAAGAACCUCAACAGCAGCAAGAGUCAAUUGCCAUCAAUAGGGCAAGACGAGAAAUUCAUAAACCUGCUCGUUUUAUUGACAUGGUGGCUUAUGCACUUCCAGUUAUUGAUGAUGUUCCAUCCACAUUUUCUGAAGCAGUUCGAAGUACAGAAAAUGAUAGAUGGAAAGAUGCUAUGGAAGAAGAAAUGCAAUCUUUUCAUAAGAACAAGACGUGGAAGUUGACACAACUACCGAAGGGCAAGAAGGCAAUUGGAUGCAAAUGGAUAUUUGCAAAGAAAGAAGGAUUUCCUGACAAGAUUGAUGUUCGCUACAAGGCAAGAUUGGUGGCUAAAGGCUACGCUCAGAAGGAGGGAGUUGAUUAUAAUGAGGUAUUUUCUCCAGUUGUUAAACAUUCCUCUAUUAGAAUUUUGUUGGCCUUGGUAGCGCAGUUGAAUUUGAAGCUAGCUCAACUUGAUGUGAAAACUGCGUUCCUUCACGGUGACUUGAAGGAGGAAAUCUAUAUGUCUCAACCAGAUGGAUUUAAAGUUGCUGGUAAAGAAAAUUGGGUUUGUAAACUGAGCAAAUCGUUGUACGGAUUGAAACAAUCACCGAGACAAUGGUACAAACGAUUUGACCAGUUCAUGAUGGACCAGAAGUACACAAGAAGCAAAUACGAUCACUGUGUGUAUUUGCGCAAGCUACGAGACGAUUCCUACAUCUACUUACUCUUGUAUGUUGAUGACAUGCUGAUAGCAUCAAUGAGUCAAGUUGAAAUUGACAAAUUGAAGGAUCAGUUGAGUAAAGAGUUCGAGAUGAAGGAUUUGGGAGAAGCCAAGAAGAUUCUCGGCAUGGAGAUAAGCAGGGAUAGAACGAGCGGCAAGCUUUGUCUGACACAGAAGCAGUAUUUGAAGAAGGUACUACAACGUUUUGGCAUGAAUGAAGAUUCAAAACCUGUAAGAACUCCGCUUGCUCCUCAUUUGAAACUUAGUAGCCUAUUAUCUCCAAAGACGGAUGAAGAGCGAGCAUACAUGGCAAAAGUCCCGUAUGCUAAUGCAGUUGGUAGCUUGAUGUAUGCAAUGGUGUGUACGAGACCUGACAUUUCACAAGCAGUUAGUGUGGUAAGCAGGUUUAUGCAUGAUCCAGGCAAGGGUCAUUGGCAAGCUGUGAAAUGAAUUCUACGGUAUAUCCAAAAUACCGUAGAUGUUGGAUUAGUAUUUGAGCAGAAUAAAUCACUUGGUCAAUGUGUAGUUGGAUAUUGUGAUUCUGACUAUGCAGGUGAUUUGGAUAAGCGACGUUCUACAACUGGCUACUUGUUCACAUUUGCCAAGGCGCCAGUUAGUUGGAAGUCUACUUUGCAGUCAACGGUGGCUUUGUCAACAACGGAGGCAGAGUACAUGGCGAUCACAGAAGCUGUGAAGGAGGCAAUUUGGCUUCAAGGAUUGCUUGAAGACUUGGGAGUUGGUCAAAAACACAUUGACGUGUUUUGUGACAGUCAGAGUGCUAUUCACUUAGCAAAGAACCAGGUCUUGCACGCAAGAACGAAGCACAUUGAUGUUCGCUAUCACUUUGUGCGGAAAAUUCUCGAAGAAGAGGAGAUUUUUCUUCAGAAGAUUUGGACUACGGAGAAUCCUGCAGAUAUGCUGACCAAGGUGGUUACAAGGUCCAAGUUUGAACAUUGUUUAGACUUGGUCAAUAUCCUGCAUAUUUGAGUUGGCGCCUGAAGGCGCAAAUUUGGAAGCACCGUAAGAACCGUUUGUUUUUUUUUUGUUUGAGGGAGAAGGUUUGUAUUUUUGUGGUGGGAUUAGAAAUUAUGCCAAGGUGGAGAUUUGUUGAGUUUCAACAAAUGUUGGCUGCCUCAAUUCUUGAAUUUGGAAGCCAACAUUGUUGACUUCUCUUUGGCACAAUUUAAUCCCACAUCGGUUGGGUUAUUGGAAGAAGCUUAGCUUGAGAACUAUAAAUAGCUCUCAAGUCUUUCCAAUUAAAAUGUACCAAGAACAACAAAGAAUUACCCCUAAGGAUUUUGUAAUUCUUUGUAUUCUUUCUUCUCCAAAAAUUUAUAAAAGCGGGCUGCUUGAGUGGUGCUUGGAGAGUAGGCAAAAUUGGCCGAACUCCGUUAUCAAUUUUUCGGGUGCGUUCUUUCCAUAUCUCUUUUAUUUGUUCCGCAUUUAUUUAUUAGUUUCUUUUCUGUUGUAGUAUAGUAUUCAAUAUAUUUGUCUAUAUUUGUCGGGUUUAUUUGUAGUGUUUUAUACGAUUCAUUUGGGUGUAUUUUUCUUAUUCGUGUGUACAUAUUAUUUAUGUAUACACGGGUAUAGUUGUGAUAAUACACCGUGCACGUAAGUUCUGUCUAGCAGACUGGGUUUUAAGUGGGACCGCUUGUGACCCCUCCAGCCUUUCCUGGGAAUUUACUUGGAAUGGUAAUUCUGUCUAAGGAGAUUGUUUUGACGAUCUUUCCUGAGAAUUACUGAAUCGGUUUAAUCACUAGUUGUAAUCUUGAGUGGGAAAAUACCCGAUUUCCCCAACAGAACCAUCCAGCAGUUGGAGGGUUUAUGACUCACUAUGGUUGGAAUUCAACGAUGGAAGCUAUGACUGCUGGGGUGCCAUUGAUUACUCGGCCAGUGUUUUCUGAGCAGUUUUACAAUGAGAAACUUGUUCAGGUUUUGAAAGUUGGAGUCGGUGUUGGGGCAGAUCAUUGGAACUUAUCUCCAAUUAACGAGGGUCCUGUAGUGGAAAGCAAACAGAUAGAGGAAGCAAUAAGCCUAUUGAUGAGCAACUCUGAAGAAAGUCAGGAAAUCAGAAAGAGGGCAAAGAAGAUGGCAGCAUUGGCAAAGGGGGCCGUGGAAGAAAGUGGAUCAUCCUAUCAAAAUCUACUUGAUUUAAUUGGUGCAUUAAAAAAAUGUGCUUUUGGUGUCAAGAGUUAGUUGUCUAAGGAGUACUACUAGUAUGAUUGCAAAAUGAAAUGUUUUGAGAUUGGAAAAUGUCUCUAGAUACUUUUUCUAAGUUUGUUCAGUCUAUUGUCUAAGUAAGAAUGAAGGGAUGCUGCAAUGAUAAUAAAGAGAGUUGAAUCCGGACACAUUGCUCAGUUGGUUUUAUGUUUCAUGGCAAUCUAAAAAUGCCUGUGAUUCUUCAUCUACACAAUACAAGACAAACUUCAUGCACUUUUAUUUCUAACUCUAACCUAAUGUGAAAUAACAUGAUUCAUUUCGGUUGGUGGAAGAAUUAAGAAGGAAAAUAAGGAAAGAUGGAGAAAAGAGGUGGUCAAAUGGUUUGAAGAAACAUAGGUAAUUACGAAAGACAUAAGAGUAGCAAGGGUCUCCCAAGAGGGAAGGAAUGGAUAUGGAUAUGGCCAUCUGGAACUGGAAGAAGGUUGUAUGUUGAAGGCGAGAAGUUGAUUAGCGAUACUCCUGCAAUUUUUCUGUGUAGUAGCCAGAUUGAUAUAUGUUUUUAGGUACCUGCUCCUUCUGGUGUCUUUUUAGUUAAGUCUGCUUUACAAGAAGUGAGAAAUAAGUCAUCUAUUGUUGAUGGAAGCAUCUGGUGUGGUGUAGCUCCACAGUCCCUCUGUUCUCACUUGUAUUAUGGCUUUUAUGCAAAGGAAGGCUCGGUACUGUAGACAGGCGUCUUAAUUGGGGAAUGGUGCAUUUUGACCCUUUUAUUUCUGCUACGCAAGCAGAAAGAUGAAUCUCAAAGUUACCUUUUCUUUUUGCAGUCUAAUUACUUAACAGCCGUGUGGAGUAGAAUUAUAAAGCUUUGUUUGAUCUUUAGAAUUCCUCAGAGAUGCCAAGAUGAACUACUGUGGUUGUCAACUUAUCUCCAUUUCUGGUUGAAGACCUUUGGCAGUAAGGUGAAGGAACUGGCUUGUAACUGUUACACUGUACCAGAUCUCGAAGGAAAGGAAGCAGAUGCUAUUCUCUUCCCAGUCUGAAAAUAAUGUUGGAGUUGUGCCAUGUACAGUGGCAUCAUGGAAAAAGCACAAACAGAAUGGGGAUUCUUCCUCCAAAAUAUUGUUUAGACAGGAUGAAUAGCUUGUUUAGCUUUAGUAUUAUUGAGUUUAAUCUACAAGUUACACAUGAUUUUCUGCAAUGAUCCGUUUGGAUUGCAUUUUUCUGGAUUUUUUGUAGAAAAAUUAUUAUAACGAUUUGAUGUGUGUGAGGUAAAAAAAUGAUAGGAAAAUGUGUUCACGAAAAACGUAGCAAGUUUUCUGAAAAAAUCGCAAUCCAAACUGGUUGUUUGCCUUUAAAUAAUGAGUAAGAGAGUAGAAAGGGCUUGGUGAUCAUCAGAGUGGUACCCCAUGAAUUUAAGAUCCUUGACCAUGCAUCUGGCAAUAGUUAGGGGUCAUGCCUUUGUAUUUACUUCCCCUGCAGCUUGCUGGAGAGUUCUACAAUGAGAAGCUUGUUGAGUGUGCAUGUGCCAAUGUGAGUUCUACAAUCUGAGUUUGAAAGUUUACCGAGCACAAUAUAUUAUCUAAUUUUGGUUUGAUUAGUUGAUGAAUCAUGUUUGAACGGGCUCUAGUUAAGUCGAAAUCGAUUUUAUUAUUGAGUAAUUUGAUUCGUCUUUUAAUUCUACGCUAUUCUAACUCUUUUUUUUUUUUUUUAAAUCUUAGAUGGAUAGAACUUUUAGCCCAUUACUCAAAUUACCGCUAAAAAAUCUAAAUGCAUGAUUACUUGAAAAGCCUACUCUCGUACUGCCAAAAAAAAAGGUUUAAGACCAAUACUGAGAUUACUUAAAAGCUUUGACUCCAAAACCACAUAGCUUCCCUCAAUCACAUUGUCUUUUAAUAAUAGUAAUCCAGUUCUAACUUUGGCACAAAGAAUCUUGGGAGGCAGCUAUGUCCCCCUGCCCCUUAACUUCUGCCAGUGGAGUUACUACAUCCGCUCAUAUGGCAGCUUUUUGUUUUUUGCAUUGGCAGUUCUCAUUUUUGUCUUCUUUUUUAUGUUUUCUUGAAGAUUAACUAGUAAUUAGUGAAGAAAAUAAAGCUCUCUCCAUCCCACUUUGAUAGUUUUAUUUUCUUUUUUCAUCCAUCUCAAAUUAUAGUCCAUUUUUUAAUUGAAAAAUAUUGUUAACUUUUAACUUCUUUAAAAUGCUCUUAUUUAAAGUAUUUUGUUACUUCCUCUGUCCCACUUUGAUAGUCUUAUUUUCUUUUUUCACCAAUCCCAAAUUAUAGUCCGUAUUCCAAUUAAAAAAAAUACUUAAUUUUUAAUUUCUCUAAAAUGUCCUUAUUUAAUGUACUUUCCAAUUAAAAAUACUUAAUUUUUAAUUUCUCUAAAAUGUUCUUAUUUAAUGUACUUUGUUAUCAAUGAAUAUAACAUACCUGAUAAAUUAAUUGCUUUGAUUCAUACUUUGAAUAGUGCAACUUUUCAUCAAUAUUAUUGUUACAAUUAAUGUAAAGGCGUAAUGGUUAGCUAUAAUACUAAUAUUAAUGUAAGGCUAUUUAAAAAAAAUAGUAUGCUAGAUUUAUUCUUCCAAUAAAGUUAACUAAAUUUCCUAAAUUAUAUGAAAAAAACCAUGACUACCAAAUGAGACAGAAGGAGUAUCAGUGAAUAUAACGUGCCUUAUACAUUAAUUGCUUUAAUUCAUGCCUUGAAUGGUGUAAGUUUUCAUCAAUAUUGUUUUUGUAAUUAAUGUAAAGGUACAAUGGUUAGUUAUACUACUAAUAUUAAUAUAAGGGUAUUUUAAGAAAAUAGUAGGCUAGAUUUAUCCUUCUAAUAAAAUUAACUAAUUUUUUCUUAAAUUAUGUGAAAAAAAUUAAAAUUAUCAAAAUAAAACGGAAGGAGCAGUAAUGGGAUAAAAUUAACUUGCAUUAUAUCUUUGUGUGUAUAUGUGUAUGCAGAAAGUCAGGUGCAACGCUGCAACCUUUAAUUAUAGUUUUGCAUCAUUGAUUGAAGGGACCAACAAGAAUGAAUUUGAUUUAUGGCAUGAGGUAAAUGUUGGCUAGUUUUGAGUAUGUCAGAAUUAGUCACGUGAGGAGGACCAAUAAUGUUCCUGCCUACGUAAUAUCAUUGAUGCUGUAACUAGGGAUGUAAUCGAACCGAUUACUCACGAGCAGUUCGGUCAAAAACUUGACUCGAAUUCGGGUUGAUCAAGUUCGAGCGUCUCGAUAAACUAAACGAGUCGAAUUCGAACAUCUAGAAAUAAUGCUCGAAAGCUCGUCGAGCUUUAUCAGGCUUUUUAAUUUUAAUUUUUUAAUAUAUUAUUAUUAUAAAAUUAUCCUUAUACCCAAAAGAGUUGUUGAAUUUACGAAAUGUUUCAAGUCAUAUAAAAAUUUUUAAAGGACAAUAAUAUCAUUUCACUAAAAAAUUGUCAAGAAAAUAAAAAUUUUUAACUCGAGCUCGAUCGAGCUUGAUAAGGCUCGUAUUGACUCGAACUCAUGCGAGCUCAAGUUUGAGUUCUGUGAGCAACCAUCGAGCUCGAGCAGGAUACGGGGCAGGGACGGUCCUCAGAAGGACCGUCUGAGGACCGUCCCUGAGCGGUCCUCUCACAAAAAAAAAUGAGAGGACUGCAAUAGGCCACGUAUAAUGGGAGCAACAGCAAAGGAAAACGACGUUGUUUUAGUAAGUGAGUAGGAAAAAAAAUAAAAAAACAUCUGAGGGGCUAACGGGCUCCGUUAAAAUACCUCAGCUGUCCGUUCCAAAAAAUCCCGCUCAAAUUAAUGAGGCACGACUCUUUAUCUGAACUCUUCAAAUGAAAUAAAAUUUUGGUCUCCCUCCAAAACCAUAUCUUGUGAACAUUCAUUCACAAUUCCAGAGUAUCAGCAAAAUAAUAUCCCUACCCCAAAUUGGGAGUUUCAGAUGAGAGGUUUUUGGAGAAAGUGUAUAGUGUUGCAGAAGUAACUGUUGCGGAACAAAAAUUUUCAUGAAGGCUGCAACAAGACGGAAGUUGGUGAGAUCUAAAGCAGAUAUAGACUCAAUCGAAUUGGACUAAACCCCAAAGGUAAGAAUAUUGCAAACUCAUUGCACUAUUUGGCUUGUUUUACGACAGAAGGGGGAUGAAUUUACUUGCAUGAUUUUGUUUGUACAACUCGUUUUAAGACAAUGUGACAUGAAUAAUGAAAUUGAAAUUCUGGCGAAAACUCCUAAACAAGGAAAUCAUAUGGGUAGCAUAAAUUAGAUACGUUGAGAGCCAACUUAAAGAAUGUAUGCACAGGGAACUUAUGCAUGCCAAGUGUUUGUAAAUUUGACUCAAUUGAUGAAUUAAAGUUCUCACCUUUUAAAAUCUGGUUGCAUAGUAUACAUAUAUCUUGGCUAAAAGAGGUUGAGUGGGGUGGCUUGCGUAGCAAAAACUAUCAGGGUAGUUGAUAAGUACAUUUGUACACGUUGUAACACUAGAAUAACAUUUGUAACACUAGAAUAACACGUUGUAACAUUUGUACACGUUGUAACACUAGAAUAACACUAGAGUAACACUAGAAAACUAUCACGGUGUAAUAUCAUUUGUACACGUUGUAACACUAGAAUAACAGCGAGUAAUUAUACUACCUUUAACAUCAGUAACCGUCCCUGCCCCUUCUCCACUAAUUACAUAGUCCAUGAUACUACAUUGGAUCAGUCUAGUAACAUGAUACGUAAGCCUUAUAUUGCAAUCCAAUUCUGAACAAAAACACCAUCUACAACUAGUUGUUUAGAUGGUGAGAAUUGCAAUGCACAAAACUAUACACAAGUAGUUCUAAGAUUAGUCAAACAGCACCAUAAGUGGCAGGGAAUAUAAAUCAGAUGCACAUUGCACCACUUAUCAAAAAAUUGUCCACAAAAGCUAACAUUGCUUCAGUAUUGCUGGGAGCUAAGAAGACUAGUACCUAAACUACUUCAGAUACCACAAGCAAGGAUUGCGGGGAACCUUUAGCACUCUCAAAACACCAUAGAGAAACUGCUGGUUAUAGUGUUAAGAGGCCACUAUUGCAGCAGUAUUAAUGCUAACAGAAGUUUCGGCUUGAGAUCCACCAUUUAGAGUACCUUGAGCAUUUGGUACAAAGGGAAUUAUACCUUGCUUGUUUACAGCAGCAUUGGUUUUCAUUGAAGACCUUCCUCUCUGCAUCAGAAAAGAACAAAUUUAAACUUUUUUGCUGCAAAACUUUAAAUUACUCCAGUAGUGCACUAGUUCUGAAUUUUGCAGCAGCAAUGUAUGACAUUAUAAUGCUUACCCUCUUAGUAGAAAUGCUUGUGCUAGCCUGCAAAUUAACUUGCACAUUGACAGCUGCAUCUUGUUGGCGAAAACUUGGAUUACUCCCCUGACUUGAAACAACCACUGGCACAUUUCCUUGUACCUGAUCCUAGAUCACAGAAGACAUGAUAAACAAGUUAAUAAUAUGUGCAACGUAUAUACUUUGGUACAUGAUCAGAUGAUCAGAUUGAACUUAGUUACCCAAAGCACAGCCCCUGCCAAUCCCGUGUUAGCUAUGCUUCUACCAGGCUUUCCUCUCCUUAGAGCACCCUGCAAUGUAACAACUUCAAAAUUGAACAUAUAAUUAUCUAGCUCCCACAAGUUAGCUAAUAUUUUGUGAUUAUCAGGAUAAAUUUGGUCCCUUUUACAUGUAUACAUAGUCAAGUAACUAACACCUAACGUGAUGUAUAUUUUUGUAAACUGAUUGUACCUCAUAAAUCAGCCUAUGUAAAGUACUCACAGAUAAGCAAGAACUACUCAUACAAGUAAAAUUACAUAUCUACUAUAGGGAGAUGCACAAAUUGAUCAAAGGGCUAAAUAACCAUUCGAAAUUUAUGCGUAUACAUGCACUACCUUUUAUAGAUAUACACAGUCAAGUAACUAACAUCUAACAUAAUGUACAUUUUUGUAAACUGAUCGUACAUCAUACAUCACCCCUUGUAAAGUACUCAUAAAUAAGCAAGGACUACUCAUACAAGCAAAAUUACACAUCUACUAUAGGGAGAUGCAUAAAUUGAUCAAAGGGCUAAAUAACCAUUCCAAAUUAUGCGUACCAUUACACUACCUUUUAUAGAUAUACAUAAUCAAGUAACUAAGAUCUAACAUAGUGUACAUAUUUGUAAACUGAUUGUACCUCAUAAAUCACCCCGUGUAAGGUGUUUAUAGGCAAAUUGUGCGCCAAAACAAUGGCAUUUUUGUUAUUUUCUGGUUUCCAAUAAUUUUUCUUAUUCAUUAUUUUUUUCCAGCAUUUCCCCGCUUAAAACUUUGCCUGGUAUUGGUGGUUUUUGGGUAAUUUCUCACCUUUUGAUUAGGACAACCUGUCACAUCCUAUUGCCAGGGGUGCUAAGUGUGAUUUCAAAAAUAUGGGGGGUACUAGAUGUGAUUAGAAGAAACCUCAGGGGAGGUUUCUGAUAUUAACCCAAUGAAUUUACUAUAUAGUUGUUCGCUGGUUAUAUAGAAUCGAUAUAAGCGUACAAAUUGGGAUCUAAUAUGUUAUACCCCGCAUGCAAUUGUUAAUACAUUAUAUCUUGUUCAAUUUAUUUUACAGCAUACCAAGGAUAAAUACAGCUUCUUUUCACAAAUUAAUGGAUAUCAAUCAAAGGUGGUAGAGCAAAGAAGUUAGAUUGGAUAAUUAGAUAGUUUUUUUUUAUUUUGCCAAACUCAUAACACUCAUUAGAAUAUAUUUACACUUAGUUCUUAGUGCAUUACCACAUGUUCAAUCUAUUUUAUAAUGUACUAGGGGAAAGAAAGGUUAAAUUGCUAAUUUUAGAUUUUGUUUAUUGAUAUUGCUAAUUUGCAGUUAUUUGUCCACAUGUAUAUCGCAACGACAUGCAUAGUGCAAUGGUAUGCAUACAUUUGGAAUGAUUAUUGGUGCUUUAAUCCACCUAUGCAUCUCUUCGCAGGCUACAGUGGGUGUGUAAUUAUAUUUGUAUGACUAAUACUAAUUUGUCUAUAAGCAAAUUACAUGGGAUGAUCUAUCAGUACAAUCAGUUUACAAAAAUGUACAUCAUAUUAGAUGUUAGUUACUUGACUGUGUAUAUCUAUGAAAGGUAGUGCAAUGGUAUGCAUAACUUUGGAAUGGUUAUUAGCCAUUUGAUCAACUUGUGCAUCUCUCUACAAUUGAUGCAUAAUUUUACUUGUAUGAGUAAUACUAGUUUGUCUGUGAGUAUCUUACACGGGGUGAUCUAUGAGGUACAAUCAGUUUAUAAAAAUGUACAUCAUGUUAGGUGUUUGUUACUUGACUAUGUAUAUCUGUAACAGUGAGAUUAGAUAUAGUGCAAUAAAAAGUAGUCACCUGAGUUGGAAUGUAUUUUAGAAACUUUGGUAUAAUGCUAUUAGUAUUUUUUUGUGAAGUGUACACGUUGUUAGUAGGUACGGAGUAGUGCUACAUGUUAUGUAUGCUUACAUGGUCAUAAAUUUAUAAAAAGUUAGUCUAUUAUUUAAAUUUGUAAUUGGUUGUUAACUCUUACACAUUGUCACGUAUAUAUACAUAAUGUAAGAAUGAAUUUACCAUAUAAUUGUUUGCUGGUUACAUAGAGUUCAUAUAAGCAUACAAAUUGGGGUUUGAUUAGCUAUACCGUGUAUGUAAUUGUUAACACAUUAUAUCUUUUUCUCCUUAUUUUGUAGCAUGUGAAGGGCAAAGAUAGCUUCUUUGACAAAUCAAUGGAUUUCAAUCAAUGCUGGUGGAGCAAAGAAAUUAUAUUGGAUAAUUAGAUAGUUUCAUUAUGCUAGACUCAUAACACUCACUAGAAUGUACUUACAUUUAGUUCUUAAUGCAUUAUCACAUGUUCAAUCUAUUUUACAAUGUACUAGAGGAAAAAAAGUUAAAUUGCUAAUUUUAGAUUCUAUUUAUCAGUAUUGUACAUCUAGUUAGUAUUUAAGUAGUAUUUGUUGUUAAUUUUUUUUAUUGUUAGCUCGAUUUGUUUUACAAUAUAUCCAAAGUAGUAACUUCGAUUCUAUGAAUUGGUAAAACAAAAUUUCUAUUGCUAAUUAGUAACAUCCCGAUGUUGUACCCCAUGUUAGUAUUUAUUGACUUUUUGUUGCUAUCAUCUUACAAACGGUUUAGUCCAUUUUAUGAUAUGUUUUAGGAAAUAAAAAUUUUUGUUUUACAAAUUGGUGAAAACUAGUUACAUUUAGUUAUUUAUAAGUUACAUACAUGUUGAUUAAACACAAAUUUAACUAGUCAUAUACCACUAUUAUGGAAAUAGUAGCUUUAGGUAAAAUUUUAGUUGUCAAUAUAUUAUAAUCUCAAAAAGUAGUAAUUGCCCAUCAGUAAAUUUGUUACACUCAAUCAUAGUGUCACUCGUUUCUGUUUUUAUCAAACCCCAAACUAAAAACCUUAAAAACGUGGUUGGAAUAUCAAUUUUGGCAUACUUCUAUCAUUUAAUUGAUCUUUGAACAAAUAUCCUUAAGUUUAUUAACUGUGAUGCAUAUAAAAAUAAACCAAAUGAAUACUCUAGUUAUAACAUUAUGGACAACAAUUCUAAUGGAUAUAUACAAUGCUUCAAACAAAUCUACAAAUUGAACAAAAAUCUACGAUGAUUACAAUGAUAUCUACAAGGAUUCUUACCUAUCACUACAUAACAUUUUGUAUAAAUCGAAAUUGAAAAUUUACAAAUAUUGUGCUAACAAAAAUCUAUAAAAAUAAAUUACAAGAGUUAUACAAUGCUGUUAACUGAGUUUCACUUGCUCCAUUUCUUCUUCUCAAGUUGAUUUCUUCUUUUUCUUUCUAAUUAUAAAUGGUGGGAUUGGUUCUGCAAGGUCAAUAGUUCCCACUUUUUAUAUUUCUUCCUUUUCAUUUGGAUUCUUUUUUAUCCUUUUCCGUGCCAUCUUGCCACUGCUCAUGCAAAUUGUAAAGGCUAUUUACUUUGUUCAAUACAUAUCAGUUUGACUAUUAGUGAUAGAUGACUAAUUAAAUUUUUAUUCAAUCAGCGUGUAUGUAACUUAUAAGUAACUAAGGGUCCGUUUGGUUGGAUCAAAAUGGAAAAUAUUUUCCUAGGGACAAGGGAAAAUAUUUUCCAUUGAAGUCAUUUUCCUGAAAAAUCACUUCUUUCUCCAUAAUUUUCCAGUGUUUGGUUAUUAAGUGAAAAUAUUUUCCAAAUUCCUUUUUUCAUAAUUUUCCAAUGUUUGGUUUAUCAAUGAAAAUAUUUUCUAAUAUGUUUGUUGAUAUGUUGCAAAUAUUUUUCUACUCUUAAAACAUUCAUUUCGUUAGAAGUUAAUUUUAGUUUCUAUCCAUUAUAAUCAUAUUAUCAUUUCUAUAAAAUAUUUAUUCAUAUUACACCAUGAAUUCUUAAAUGGAAUUAUUAAUGAUACUAAUGAAUUGGUUGGGAAAGAAGAGUUAAAAACCAAACAAAAACCUAGCUGAACACUAUUCUUUAUUGGUAUAGUAUCAUGUCAUUAUGUUGUUCCUUUGAAAAGGGAGAAGAACCUAAAUGCAGAGAAUCCUAUAUUGGAAUAUAAACCAAGAUUUCAGCUCCAUAAUCAAAAAUCUUAUUCAUGGUACAGAGUUAGAACCAUUGGUACAUACAAGCACCCUAAUCAAGCCUAGAGUGAUUCAAAUCCCUGCUUUAAAUGUUGUUGGCCUCAGUUGGAUCAAAAAUCUGGAACAAUUCAAUACAUACAAAGGCAAAUAUAAGCCAAAAUAUAAAAUAUUGCUCAACAAAAAGGAAAAUCACAUCUCCAAAUGGAAAAUGGUCCCAAAAAUAUCAGUUGCCUAGGUAGUAAAUCAUGGAUACAAAAGGAAACAUCUAUACAACACGUCACCAAUGUUCAUGUGAACGUUUUACAGGAAAAAAUUUAGUGACCAGAGCUUUGAACAAAUCCAGUUGGCCUGCACCUACAAAUUCCCAAGGCCAAGGCAAGUGGCAAGGUACUCAGUCAGCCCUCCUUUUUUCCACUUGUAGAUCACCUCCAAGGUGAUGCUGAAACACAACAGGAAAAAUAAAUAUCUUAAUACGUGAUAGGAUCUAGUUCUUUCUUAACUAACUGAUGCUUUCUUUUUAUUUUAACCUGCCACAUGCGUUGAUA
rnacentral:lncRNA from 1 species